rnacentral:lncRNA from 1 species
GCCCGUAGAGGCUGGGCCUUCUGUAAUGUAAGCCCAAACUUCUCACUCAUGUCCAUAUUUUCUGGUUUCAUACCAUCUUCAAGCUUCCAAGCAUGGGAAUAAAGAAGAGAGGCCAACAUCAGGUGCACCAUCCUAUGAGCUAAUGGCAUUCCAGGACAUAUUCUUCUUCCAGCACCAAAUGGAAUCAACUCAAAAUCUCGGCCUUUGACAUCAAUAUCACACUCUAGAAACCUCUCAGGCAUGAAUGCAUUUGGGUUGGGCCAAGUGCUUGGAUCUCGACCAAUUGCCCACGCAUUAACUAGUACUUGUGAAUUCUUUGGAAUUGUGAAGCCACAUAUUUCUACGUCUGUUUCAGCUUUAUGGGGAACUAGCAGUGGGGCUGGUGGGUGCAACCGAAAGGUUUCUUUAACUAUGGAUUGUAAGUAAGGGAACUUCGAGAUGUCUGAUUCUUGAACUAUCCCUUCAUUCCCAAGGACUCCUCGGAUCUCCUUUUGAGCUUUUGCAAUUUUUUCCGGGUUGCAUAGUAACUCUGCCAUUGCCCACUCUACUGUGCUUGAAGUCGUGUCAGUUCCCGCAACAAAGAGAUCCUGAUCAUACAAAGCAAUGUUAGAAUUAAGGUUUCAUUGAUCAUAAUUUGCAAUUUGCACUUACCAAUGUUUUCUACAUGAAAUCUCAAGAAAAAUGUGUGCAAGAAGAAACUCCAAGGAAGACUGACUUCUAAUUCAUUGCUUACUUAAAUUUUCUAGGUCAAUUCAGUUUAAUAACUAUAACAAAUUUCAUAAAUGCAUCAAAUUGAAUGUGACGUAUGUGCAUAAAGACAAUUAAAUGAUUUCAUUUCCAUAGUCAUCCGAAAACGCCCUUGUAAAAUUUAACAGACAAAAGGAGUACUGAUUACUAAUAGUGAAGAUGUAGUUACCCACCAGAAGCAAAUGUUUUAUAUCACUGCAGCUCCACUCAUUGUCAUUUUCUUUUGUGAGAUUGAGGAGGGCAUCUAGUACAUCCUUGCUUGCUGAUGAAGUUUUUGAUUGCAACCUUUGAUUUAUUAUACCAUCAAAAAUAUGAAAUAAUUUAUUAAAAUAAAUUUUCAUGUUCCACCGUAUACCUUGUGGAUCAAUCAAUCUAAAGGCCGGGAAAUAAUCUACAAAGUUGGGUCUUCCAACUCCUUCCAUCACACCCCGGGCAAUAUUCUUGAACUCUUGUGAAAAAUUAGAACCAUGAUGAGCCAAAUUAAUGGAGAAAAUAGUGUUCGAUAACAAAUUAAGGCUUGCUGUGAAGACUGCUCCAUUAAUAUCGACUGCACAACCCCUACUGCAACAUUCUUCCACAUGAUCCAGCAGUUCCUGUACAAUUUUUCUCCGAAGGCCUUGGCUGGCAUCGAGCUGCUGCACCGAAAAUAUUUCCCUGGUGCAUAUCUUCCUAAUCUUUCGCCAAUGCACUGAUGCUGGAACCCAUACCACUGAAGACUCAUGAUGAUUAUGCGCUCUGACAGCAUCCGGGACUGUUCGGCUGGAGAAAGCUUGAUCAUUUCUGUGUAGGACCUCUUUUGCAGUUUCUGAAGAGGAAAUGACUAUGGUAGCAAUACUCCCAAGCUUGAGAGACAUUACAGGACCAUAAGUUUUGGAGAGAUUUGCAAGUGAUCGAUGGGGUUUGUCCCCAAGUUUGAGGAUGUUGCCGAUGAUUGGCAAAGGCCGGGGGCCUGGAGGGAGGCUGGCUGUACCAGGUUUCCGGCCAAUCGGACUGAGUUUGAGGAGAUGAAUGCAUGUCCACACAAAGGAAAGCAAAAGCAAAAAUGUUAUGUAAUCCAUUGUCUACUUCUUUUCACUCUUUUCCUCUCUUCUCUUGUUUAUGAGACACGGGAUUCUCCCUAUCGUCUCUGGUAUCUGUAUGGAAACAUGUGGACCAUGAAAUACUAAUCAACAAAACAAUGGUCUACUUUUUAAUUUCUUAUUUGGCUUUAGUGUUAUUUUCAUGAAAAAUCAAGGACGGACCACAGCCAACUUAAUAAACCCGUGAGUGAUUCUGCUACGAAACAACACCAACCAUGGAAAACAAAAUAAUGCUGCAAAACUAACAUAUAACACUGUUAAAAAAAAUCACCAUUCACAGACAAAGCCUUUUACCCAUACAAAUAUACACUAAAGGAAAAAUAUUUAUACAAUAAUCAUGUACGCUUGUCUUUAUGGGUCUUUACUAAUCCUCAAAACUUCUCUUUAUAAGUCAUAUAACCUUUUCUUGGCUUAAUGAAGAUGAGUUUUCAUUCUUCACUUUAAUUUUAAAAGUUAAUAAUCAUUUUUAAACAAAUUUUAAAAUAGAAAACUAACACACCUACAAGCUAUCAAUUUCUCAUUCUUGUUUAUCAAACCAACAACAUUUAUGUUUUACAUAGAAAAAUCAUAUAUAUAUAUAUAUAUAUAUAUACCAAUGUCAUUAAAAAUAUUCUUUUUCUUCUUAUUGUUAUAUAUAUAUAUAUAUAUAUAUAUAUAUAUAUAUACCAAACAUAAUUUUGUUUUUAUUUUUAAAAUAAAAAUAGAAUUAGAAUAUACAAAUUUAAUUAAACAAUUUUUAGUUUUCUACUUCUAGAAAUAGUAAAAAGAUCAAGAUCGUACAUUCCAAUAAUUUUUACUUAUUUAUAAUCUUUGGUGAAAAUAAAAAUGAAAUAAAGCCUGAAAGAUUAGGAUGUGAUGUCAAUAUGAUCAAUACUUGAGUUGUAAGUUGGCAUGGGGUUUAAUUAAAUAAAUUAUGGUAUAUAAUUAAUUAAUGGGCUUGGUCUUGUCUUAACGGACGAAACCACUUAGAGGAAGUGUGAAUAGGUAAGAAUAACUUUCUAACAUCGAUCUCCCUCCUCGUUAGGAUCCAAUCAAUGAAGUAGGCUACUGCUAUAUGAACCUGGAUGCGAUGUGAGGCAGUAUAGAAUGUACUACACUCAAAAAUACCAAAUUGUCAAGCUGGUUUGAUCACAUCAAUCAAUGGAAUACAUAUGGGUAAGAGACAAGCCUCCUCAUAAAAAGCAUGAGCAAUAGCCGCACACUCAACUCGUAAGAGGGUCAGGAUAUUAGAAACCAUAGGAGGAUCAAUGCCUUAAUAUAGACACACAUCCCCAAGUCAAUUUUUGACAAAUCUAUCAAGAAGACACAACAAAGUCUAAACCAUUUAUCAAAACACUAAAAUAUACUCUAGGAAUAUACUAAUAAUGGAUGUUAUCAUAGAACAUCCAAGUGCAGUGAUUAGGGUAUAUAGCCAUUUGAAUAGACAUAAUAGCCUUCCACCUCUAGUCAUAGACAAUGUAGGGAAUACGAGUACCCAAACUUAGAAAAAAUCAUAUAGCACACUUUGGCUCAACAUGUCUCUCAAAGAUUAUAUCAUAGAAUGCAAUCCUAUGUUUCAUAAAAUAGAAAUAAUGAAUGGGAAGGUUAUAUUGUAUAGGAUUGAUGAAUAGGUGUCCUAACAUGAGGAGACCUAGAAUGAGAAGCAGCCUACUUCUAGACCCACCUCUACCACAAGUCAUAGGAAAAAUAAGAGAAAAUUUUGGGAAUAGAAAUUAAUCUAGGAAAGUGUGCGAUCAAAAGUGUCCUAAACAUUGAGCUUAGAGGCCCAUUAAAGUCAAAUAUAAAGAGAAAUUGCAAGAAAAUCUUAUGAAGGAAGAGCAACGAAUGUUAGAAGAGAAAGGAGAUAAAAAUGGAGGCAUAUAGUGAAUAUCAAGUGUUGGUGCACUUUUAAAAUUAAGGACAUUCGAAUAUCUCAUAAAGAGUGUGUAGACCCUUAAUUUUAUUCAUAUUUAUAUGAUAUAAGCUUAUUUAGAUGUAGUCUUUUGACUUACCAUUUCUCUUGACUUUAUUUUAUUCCAUUUUAUAAUUAUUUUUAUUUAACUUUUUCACUUUUAUUCUCUAUUCUUUCUCAGUUCUUCCUUACCUUGCUUUUCUUUCUCUCCACACAUCACCAUACGUGCACCAUGAUUACACUUCCAUUAAUUUCUAAAGAAACAAACAAUUUCCUCCAUUUGUUUUUUAGAAAGGAAUGCGGGUAUAUCUAAGCCAAACUAGAAGUGGGACUUGUGUUGUUGAGUGAUCAUUGUACAUUCAAAUCUAACAAUAAGAUACUGGAGUCCUCCGCGUUAAUUAAUUUUCCAGAUGAUAUAUUGUUUGUCAACAUAAUGUUUGGGAAACACCCCAAUUUGCCACUUAGUUGGCCAAUCUCUACCAUCCUACCAAACACAUUUCUUUUUCUUUCCUUCACUCACUGUUUUACAAAUCUACUUGCAGGGUAACUUUCAACAAUGAAGGAUGGACCACAGCCAAAAGAACGGAUUGUACUAUAGCGCAUGGAAAACAAUAAUGCUGGAAACUAUCUUUCCUUUUUCUCACUGUUUUUCAAAUCUACUUGUUGGGUCGCUUUAAAAAAAAUGAAGGAUGGACCAUAGGCGGAGCUAGAAAAUGACCUGAGAGGGGCCAAAAUAUGAGAACAUAUUUCAGAGGGACAUAAAUGAUUGAAUUUACCUAGUGAUGUAGUGGCAAUGAAAGAUAUUUUUAUUCUUUUCCUAGGUGGGACAAGCACCAUGUGGCUCUGCUCCUGGAUGAACCACAACCAAAAGAAAGGACAAACCGACAUUGCUUGUACUGUAACACUUAGCAUGGAAAACAAUAAUGCAUGUUUUAAAAACUGAUCAAUCAAAGCCUGGUCCAGUUCGAUUCACAUGUUGAGCUGAAGCCAAGGAACCUACUGAACAGAGGUUGAGAUGGACCAAAAAUACCACAUACCACAAAUCUAUAGUAUGGGACCAUUGAUCGAAGAUUCAAAGAAAUGACUGUGCAACCACUAGAUCUAGUGCUAGUUUUGUUAUAUAACAGUUGCAUUAUUAGCUAAAUUUAUCCUACUUAUUUAUGUAAUAAUAAAUUUGAAAAAAUAAUAUAAGCAAAAUAACCUACUAUCUUUUAAAACUAUAAAAUAAUCUAAUAUUUAAUAUGUAAAUAAAGUUAAAUAAUAUUAUAUAUAUAUAUAUAAUAUAAAAUAUGAAAAUGUUAGCUGACUUAUUUCAUGAGCAUUUUUGUUUCAGUCAUCUAAAAAAAUUAACUCUGUUAUUGUUAAACUAUGAUUCCCUGCAAUAAAAACACUACAUUAAACCAUGAUUUCGAUUACUCUGAUGAGCAUAUUCCUCCUUAGUUCUUUCAUCUAUAUUGUAGCACAAGACUAUUACAACUUCUAUCCACCCUUUUAGCUGUUUCUCAUGCAAGUGACACAACAGAGAAAAAACAAAGGUCCCACCUAUUGUACCUAAAUCCUUCUUUAUUUAUAUCAUGAUUUUAUAUAUUUAUACUACCGUUUAGUAAUUAUAUUUUAUCAAAUAUUUUGAAAACCUUGGGUGGGUAUUAGGUAAUAAUAGGGUACAUAAACAACAUAGAAGUUGCAUUCAUUAAAACAUAAAAAUACAAUCAAACUUUGAUUGGAAUAGCCCGUAGAGGCUGGACCUUGUGUAAUGUCAACCCCAAUUUCUCAUUCAUGUCCAUAUCUGCUGGUUUCAUACCAUCGUCAAGCUUCCAAGCAUAGGAAUGAAGAAGAGAGGCCAAUAUCAGGUGCACCAUCCUAUGAGCUAAUGGCAGUCCAAGACAUAUUCUUCUUCCCGCACCAAAUGGAAUCAACUCAAAAUCCCGGCCUUUGACAUCAAUAUCACACCCCAAAAACCUCUCAGGUACGAAUGCAUUUGGGUUCGACCAAGUGCUUGGAUCUCGACCGAUAGCCCAUACAUUAACUAGUACUUGGGAAUUCUUUGGAACUGUGAAGCCGCGUAUUUCUACAUCAGAUUCAGCUUUAUGGGGAGCUAGCAGUGGGCCUGGUGGGUGCAACCUAAAGGUCUCUUUGACUAUGGCUUGAAAGUAAGGGAGCUUUGAGAUGUCUGAUUCUUGAACUAUCCCAUCCUUGCCAAGGACUUCUUGGAGCUCCCUUUGAGCUUUUGCCAUUUUUUCCGGGUUGUGUAGUAGCUCUGCCAUUGCCCACUCUAUUGUGCCUGAAGUGGUGUCAGUUCCCGCAAGAAAGAGAUCCUGAUCACACAAAGCAGCGUUAGAAUUAAGGUUCCAUUGAUCAUCGUUUACAAAUAUGCAGUUACCAACGUUUCCUACACGAAAUCUCAAGAAAAAUUGUACAAGAAAUAACUACAAGGAAGACUAACUUCUAAUUGAUUGUUUACUCAAGUGUUUAGGUCAAUUUCAGUUUAAUAACUUAACCAAUUUCACAGUUAAAAGUUAAAAGGAAAUGCAAUUGCAGGUACAUAAUAUAGAUACUUCAGUGGAGAAGUUACCAAGGAUUAGAUAGAAUGAUUUAUAAAUUAUUCCAAAAGUCACUAAAGCCAUUCUUCAUCAAAAUUAGGUUGUAGUUCAGCUAAAAGAUUGAGAAAUUCAAUCUUCUCGUGUGUGUAUAUAUAGGUGUUACUAUUGAAUGAAAUCCAUAUAUGCAGGAGGCAUUUAAAUAAGGAACUUAAAUUAUUCCAUAAUAUAUAUGAACUAGAUUCUUCAAUUCCAACGAAAGAGUAAAUCAUUACAAAUAGUAUCAUAGUCAACCUCAUUGGAGGAGUUUGUUUGGUCUUGCAUAAAUGUCUUAAUUUUGUAUAAUAACUACAACAUGGGAGGAAAGGUGUGGGUCUUAUAGUUAAAAGAUGACCAUACAAAUGUAUUUUGAAGCAAAGAUUGAGAUUCAAGAAAGCCAUGUCACUUUCUUGAAUUCCAUAAAAUAGUUUUACAUCUUUUAUGAAGUAAGCUUAUACUCUAAAAUGCAAUGUAAUGAAUGCAAAAGGUAGUUAAUAUGAUAUCUCAAAUCAAAGAAAGGAAAAAGUUUUAAUGCUAUAUAUGUUUGGAUUUUUUUUAAUUUUGUGGACGCGUUUUAAAAUCGUGAAAAAACAAUUGUUAUAAAUAAUAUCAACCCCAAGGUAAAGUUUGUUUGGCUAUAUAUGCAAGGGGUGUCUAUUUCUUGGCACUAUAUAUAUCUUAACUUUGAAUAAUAUCUUCAUGGGAAGGAGCAGGGCUCUAUCUACUGACACUAUAUAUAUGUCUUCACUUUGUAUAAUAUCUACAUGGAAGGAAGCAACGAAUGUAUGAGCUCUUUUUAACCUUGUAAAAAAUAAUAUCUACUUAGCUUGUAGACUACGAUAUCUACUUGAGAGGUACUAGUACAUCGUAUCAAAUGUAUAGUGAAGCAAAGAUUGAGAUAUGGUACUCACCAUAAGCAAAUGUAUAAUAUCUCUGCAGCUCCACUCUUGGUUAUUUUCUUCUGUGAGAUUGAGGAAGGCAUCUAGUACAUCGUUGCUUGCUGAUGAAGCUUUUGAUUGCAACCUUUGAUUGAUUAUACCUUCAAAAAUAUGAAUCAAUUUAUCGAGAUGAAUCUUCAUGUUUUGCUGUAUACCUUGUGGGUCAAUCAAUUUAAAGGCCGGGAAAUAAUCUGCAAAAUUGGGUCUUCCAGCGUCUUCCAUCACACGCCAUACAAUAUCCUUGAACUCUUGUGAAAAAGUAGAGGCGUGAUGAACCAAAUUAAUGGAGAAAAUGGUGUUUGAUAACAAAUUAAGGCUUGCUGUGAAGGUUGCUGCACCAAUAUCGACUGCACAACCCCUACCGCAACAUUCUUCCGCAUGGUCCAGCAGUUCCUGUACUAUUUUUCUCCUAAGGCCUUGGCUGGCUUCAAGCCGCUGCACCGAAAACAUUUCCCUGGUGCAUAUCUUCCUAAUCUUUCGCCAAUAAGCAGAUGCCGGACUCCAUACUACCGAAGAUUCAUGAUGGUUAUGGGCUUUGACGGCAUCUAGAACUACUCGGCCAGAGAAGGCUUGAUUAUUUCUGUGUAGGACCUCUUUGGCAGUUUCAGAAGAGGAAAUGACUAUGGUGGAAACACUCCCAAGCUUGAGAGACAUUACAGGGCCAUAAGUUUUGGAGAGAUUUGUAAGAGAUUGAUGAGGUUUGUCCCCAAGUUUGAGGAUGUUGCCGAUGAUUGGAAAGGGGCGGGGGCCUGGAGGGAGGCUGGCUGUACUGGGUUUCCGGCCAGUUGGACUGAGCUUGAGGAGAUGAAUGCAGGUCCACACAAAGGAAAGCAAAAGCAAAACUGUAAUGUAAUCCAUCGGCUAUCCCUUUCAAUACUACUCUUCUAUUCUUGAUGCUCCGAUUCUCCCCAUCUUCUGUGGUAUUUGUAUAGAAACAUGAGGACCAUGAACUGCUUAUCAACAAAUUAAUCACGGUUAUUUUGGUAUUUGUAUCAAAUGAAUUUAGUUUUUUUUGCCAAAUGCAUAAAUUAGGUUUUGAGGAGGCACUAAGAAAUGGAUGGCUUUUGGACAUUAAAGUGUCCAAAAGUAGGUAAGAAAUUAAUAAAUUAUUGAAAUCCAAGGGAAAAGUAGGUAAGAAAUUAUUGAAAUCCAAGAGACUUGUAAAAUUUGAAUUCUAAUAUCCACACGUGAUUUCCGUGUAUCCUACUCGACCAUGAGACUUGCAUGACUUGGACUCAACCAUCUAAAUGGAAAUUGUUUGAGAUUUAAUUAAUAGUAAAAUCCUAUUUCUUUUUUUUUUAUUGACAAUACUAAAAAUUUUAUUCAACAUAAAAAAAAUUUGUAUAAGACAAAAUAAAGCUUUGACAAGAAGAACAUUUUAUUAACUUUCAUAUUAAGUUUUUAAAAAAUCUUAAAUAAAUUAAUUAAGCAGCCAUAAAACCUUUUAUUGAACUUUAAAAAAGGUUUUUCUCUUCUCAUAAAUCAAACCAAGACAUAAACAUUUUAUGGAAAAACUUGGAAAAGUAGGUUGAUAUAUUUGAUUUGUGAACAUAACAAAAUUGAAUACAUAAAGAUGAAAAGUUAAGGUUUAUUUGGUUUUUCGAGAAUAGUAUUCAAAAACAUUUUCAAUCAUUUGAUAUAUAGUAAUGUUAUCGACUUUUUUUCUACAUUUUUAAAUAUUUCGUAAAAAUAUUUUUGAUAUAUAGUAAUUUAUUUUCAAUCAUUCUUCAUAUUUAUAUAUUUAUUUUUACACAUGAUUCCAAAAAGGCAAAAAAUAAGGGAAAAUAUUUCUUUCAGAAAUUAGAAUAUAAGUGAAAAUACCCUCUUUUUAAAAAAAAAUUACUAAAUUAAUGUAGUUUUUGAAUUGUAGAGGGGACCAACCAAUUCCUUUUCUGAUAGGGUUUACCUUUUCAAGCCCUUUUGAAUUGUAUAUUCAUUUUUCCAAACAUCUUUGUCUCGGCUCAUUUAUUUCAUAAACAUUUUUGUUUCAGUCGUCUGAAAAUGUCUACUCUGUUAUUGUUCCAAGUUCCUACAAUCAAGACACUACAUUAAACCAUGAUUUGGAUGACCCCGAUGACAAUAUUCAUAUUUAGUUCUUUCUUCUAUAUUGUAGAGCAAGACUACUAAAACUUCUAUCCACCCUUUUAGCUGUUUCUGAUUAAAGUGAUACAACAGAGAAAAAAACAAAUAUUUUGAAAAACUUGGGUGGGUAUUAGGUAAUGAUAGGGUAGAUAAACAACAUAGAAGUUACAUUCAUUACAACAUAAAAAUACAAUCAAACUUUGAUGGGAAUAGCCCGUAGAGGCUGGGCCUUCUGUAAUGUAAAUCCCAACUUCUCAUUCAUGUCCAUAUCUUCUGGUUUCAUACCAUCGUCAAGCUUCCAAGCAUAGGAAUGAAGAAGAGAGGCCAAUAUCAGGUGCACCAUCCUAUGAGCUAAUGGCAGUCCAAGACAUAUUCUUCUUCCAGCACCAAAUGGAAUCAACUCAAAAUCUCGGCCUUUGACAUCAAUAUCGCACCCCAGAAACCUCUCAGGCACGAAUGCAUUCGGGUUCGACCAAAUGCUUGGAUCACGACCGAUAGCCCAUGCAUUAAUUAGUACUUGGGAAUUCUUUGGAACUGUGAAGCCGCAUAUUUCUACAUCAGUUUCAGCUUUAUGGGGAACUAGCAGUGGGGCUGGUGGGUGCAGCCUAAAGGUCUCUUUAACUAUGCCUUGUAAGUAAGGGAGCUUUGAGAUGUCUGAUUCUUGAACUAUCCCAUCCUUGCCAAGGACUUCUUGGAGCUCCCUUUGAGCUUUUACCAUUGUUUCCGGGUUGUGUAGUAGCUCUGCCAUUGCCCACUCUAUUGUGUCUGAAGUGGUGUCAGUUCCCGCAACAAAGAGAUCCUGAUUAUACAAAGCAGAGUUAGAAUUUAGGUUUCAUUGAUCAUAGUUGGCAAAUAUGCAGUUACCAAUGUUUUCUACAUGAAUGGAAAAGAAAAACUGUACAAGAAAUAACUCCAAGGAAGACUAACUUCUAAUUGAUUGUUUACUUAAGUUUUUAAGUUAAUUUCAGUUUUAUAACUUAACCAAUUUCACAGUUAAAAGUUAAAAGGAAACGCAAUUGCAGGUACAUAAUAUAGAUACUUCAGUGGAGAAGUCACCAAGGAUCAGAUAUAAUGAUUUAUAAAUUAUUCCAAAAGUCACUGAAGUCAUUCUUCAUCAAAAUUAGGCUGUAGUUCAGCUAAAAUAUUGAGAAAUUCAAUCUUCUCGUGUAUAUAUAUAGGUGUUACUAUUGAAUGAAAUCCAUAUAUUCAGGAGGCAUUUAAAUAAGGAACUUAAAUUACUCCAUAAUAUAUAUGAACUAGAAGUGAUAUCAAAAAAAUAGAAUUCAGAAAAUAGUUUAACAUCUUUUAUAAAGUAGGGUUAUACUCUAAAAUGUAAUGCACAGAAUGAAAAUGAUAGUUAAUGUGAUAUCCCACAUCGGAAAAAAGAAAAAGUUUCUAACAUUGUAUAUAUGGUUUCUCUUAAUCUUAUAGAUGUAUUUUAAAGCCGUGAAGAAAUAAAUUUAUUACAAAUAGUAUGAGCUAGUCGAUCUCCAAUCCCAAUGAGGGGAGUUUGUUUGACCUUACAAAAGAUAUCAUUUGUUUCACCUACAAGGGAUCUUAACUUUGUAUAAUGCCUACAUGGGAGGGUGCUAUAUGUGUGUGGACUUGCUUGUAGAUGACAAUAUCUACUUGGGAGGAAGGAAGUUGGUCCUUAUAGAAAGAUGAUUAAUACUAAUAUAUAGUGAAGCAAGGAUUGCGAUAAGGCACUCACCAUAAGCAAAUGUAUAAUAUCAUUGCAGCUCCACUCUUGGUUAUUUUCUUUUGUGAGAUUGAGGAAGGCAUCUAGUACAUCGUUGCUUGCUGAUGAAGCUUUUGAUUGUACCCUUUGAGUGAUUAGACCAUCAAAAAUAUCAAUUAAUUUACCAAAAUGAACCUUCAUGUUCCGCUGUAUACAUUGUGGGUCAAUCAAUCUGAAGGCCGGGAAAUAAUCUGCAAAGUUGGGUUUUCCAGCUUCUUCCAUCACACCCCAUACAAUAUCCUUGAACUCUUGUGAAAAAGUAGAAUCAUGAUGAGCCAAAUUAGUGGAGAAAAUAGUGUUCGAUAACAAAUUAAGGCUUGCUGUGAAGGUUGCUGCACCAAUAUCGACUGCACAACCCCUACCGCAACAUUCUUCCACAUGGUCCAGCAGUUCCUGUACAAUUUUUUUCCGAAGGCCUUGGCUGGCAUUGAGCCGCUGCACCGAAAACAUUUCCCUGGUGCAUAUCUUCCUAAUCUUUCGCCAAUAAGCAGAUGUCGGACUCCAUAUCACUGAAGAUUCAUGAUGGUUAUGGGCUUUGACAGCACCCAGGACUUCUCGGCCGGAGAAGGCUUGAUCAUUUCUGUGUAGGACCUCUUUGGCGGUUUCGGGAGAGGAAACGACUAUGGUGGAAAUACUCCCAAGCUUGAGAGACAUUACAGGGCCAUAAGUCUUGGAGAGAUUUGUAAGAGAUUGAUGGGGUUUGUCCCCAAGUUUGAGGAUGUUGCCGAUGAUUGGAAAGGGGCGGGGGCCUGGAGGGAGGCUGGCUGUACUGGGUUUCCGGCCAAUUGGACUGAGCUUGAGGAGAUGAAUGCAUGUCCACACAAAGGAAAGCAAAAGCAAAACUGUUAUGUAAUCCAUGGCGAUCCCUUUCUAUACUACUCUUCUAUUCUUGAUGCUCCCUUUCUCCCUAUCUUCUGUGGUAUUUGUAUAGAAACAACACGACCAUGAACUGCUUAUCAACAAAAUCAUGGUUAUUUUGGUUUCUGCGUCAAAAAUAUUCAAACUUGAAAAAGAGAGACUUGUAAAAUUUGAAUUCUAAUAUUCAUACUUGAUUUCCAACCAUAAGACUUGUAAGACUUGUACACGACCAUCUUGAAAAUGUGAAUCUCAAUAAUGGACUACACCUAGAGGGGGUUGAAUAGGUGUUGUAGAACAAUUUAAAAAUUCUCCCAACAAAUAUUACCUAACCUUAGACUAUCUUAAUGUCAAGAAACUUUUCUUCCAACAACUUUUCAACAAAACAUAACAUCCACAAGCAAAAAUAUAUGCAACAACACUCUCCCAACAAUUUAUCAAUGUAAAACACAUGCAAAUGCUUCAACACUCCUCAAAAAUAAAUCAAAAUGUAGAGUGAGAGAAAGAGACAAUGAACACCAGAUUUUUAACGUGGAAAACCUCCGAAGAGAUCAAAAACCACGGGCCUAUCAUCGAUUGAAAAACUCCACUAUGAAGAAUAAAAACUAAGUACAAGGUUUUACCUAGGGUCAACCAAUCCUUCCCGAACUACUUGACUAGUACCUUCAUUUUCAGUUUCUCCCUUCUUCUUUCGGAGCACACUUGGAGUCCGCACCAAGCUCAAUCCCGGCCUCUUCUUGAAUCCACACAAGAAGAAAAUGGGUAUGUACCCAAACCCAAAUAGAAUGAGAGAUUGAGAUGUGAAUAAAGGAAUGAAUCAACCCAUUUAUUGCUCAAGAAAACCCAUUAAAAACUUGUUUGGAAAACAUUAAAAGAAGUGGAUUUUCUUUGCAAUCAAAAACCCCAAAUUAGGAAAACAAAAUGAGAAAAUAAAGAACACAAGGAGUGUGGCUGCUCUCUCCACGUUUUCUGCAACCACAACUCACAAAAAUGAGAGAAGAUUGCUUUUUAAAGUGUAAAAAAAAACCCUUAAUCUAAUGGCUGAGAUUUGAUCAAAAAUGAAUUAGUUGGAUUGAUCCACCCUUGCACCUGGAUCGAUCCAGAAACAAGGGAAUGAAAGUUUUGCACCAAAAACCAUUUCUCCCAACUUUCUAACACAUUUAAAGAUUAAAAACCAGGUUGAUUCACAUCCAAUCACCACACACUCGGCUACAUACCUUGGUCUCUUAGCAAAGUUUUAGUCUUCAAAGUCAAGUAGUCCGAAUAGGAAUUUGAAAGCCGAGUUAAGGGAUACUUAGGAAUUUUGUUCGGAAUUGCCAACCUAGCUAAACACUCACACAUCUAAAUGGAAAUUGUUUGAGAUUUUAUUAGCAGUAACAUUCUAUUUUUUCUUUAUUGACAAUACUAAAAAUUUUAUUCAACGAGAAAAAUCUCUUGUAUGAGGCAAAAUAAAGCUACGACAAAAGUAACAUUUUAUUAACUUUCAUAUUAAGUUUUUUUAAAAUCUUAAAUAAAUUAAUUAAGUAAACAUAAAACCUUUUAUUGAACUUUUAAAAAGAAAGUUUUUCUCUUCUUAUAAAUCAAACCAAGACGUAAGCAUUCUAUUUGAAAAAGUAGGUUGAAAUAUUUGAUUUGAGAACAUAACAAAAUUGAAAACAUAAAAAUGGAAAAUUAAGGUUUAUUUGGUUUUUUGAGAAUAGUAUUCAAAAACAUUUUUAUUGAACUUUCAAUGUUCUAAGUUUGAGAACUUGUAAUGUUAUCAACUUUUUUUCUACAAUAUUUUUAAAUAUUUUUUAAAAAUAAAUUUAGUUUCCAUCAUUCCUUAUAUUUAUAUAUUUAUUUUUUCAAAAGAUUCCAACAAGACAAAAAAUAUGGGAUCAUAUUUCUUUCAGAAAUUAGAAAAUAAGUGAAAAUACCCUCUCUUUUUUUCAGAAAUUACUAAAUUAAUGUAGUUUUUGAAUUGUAAAAGGGACCAACCAAUCCCUUUUCUGAUUCGGUUUGCCUUAUCAAGCCCUUUUGACUUUAAACCGGUGGUAACCGAUGAACCGUCCAGUCUGUCGAAGUAGCCCAUAGGGUAAAUUUGUCAAAGCAUUGUAUGGGCCAUAAAUUAUGCCUCACUUAUUUCCCAGCUUUUAUAUUCGUUUUUCCAAACAUCUUUGUCUCAUCUCACUUAUUUCAUGAAUAUUUUUGUUUCAAUCGUUAAAAACGUUAGCUCUGUUAUUGUUCCUACAAUAAAGACACUACAUUAAACCAUGAUUUCAAUUAAUCAUUCGAUGACUCCGAUGAGUAUAUUCCUCUUUAGUUCUUUCUUCUAUAUUGUAGAUCGAGACUACUAAAAAUUCCAUCCACCCUUUUAGCUGUUUCUGAGGCAAGUGACACAACAAAGUAAAAUCAAAUAUUUUGAAAACCUUGGGUGGGUUUUAGGUGAUGAUAGGGUAGCUAGAUAAACAACAUAGAAGUUACAUACAUGAAAACCUAAAAAUACAAUCAAACUUUGAUGGGAAUAGCCCAUAGAGGCUGGGCCUUCUGUAACAGGGUUCAAAAUCUCGGUCAAUACCGGUACGACUCGACUGAGUCAUAUCCGCCUCGAUCAUGGCUAGUACCGGACCAAUACCCGAGUUGGAUAUUUUGUUAGCUUGUGAACAAACUCAGUGGAGUAGAAAUAGUGGAGAAGAUGAGAGGAUCAAAACCCAUGAAAAUGAAAAAUGCAGAUUACAGAGAGUUAGAACACUCCAUCUUGGAGUCGCCGGCGAGGUCGAAGAAGCACGCUUGCUUGUUCGGAUCCCCCAAGUUCCCACCGGAGAUGAAACUGAGCGACAUGAGGAGAAGGUAGAGUCGUCAGACUCUGGCACCGCUGUUGUCGACGAAGAACGAUGGUGAGGUGGCUGAUGGAAGUGGGAGAAGAGAGAAAGUUGGCCUACAGAGGAGCUGCCUGAGACUUGUGAGUUUAGAGGAGAAAGGGAUGGGUGUUUGACUGCCAGUUGAGGGUUAUGGAUAAAGAUGAGGAUUUGAAUUUUAAAUAGUAUGUAUUUGUUUUUUUUAAGUACAUAAUGAAUAUUUGAUGGGGAUUUGGACUUUAAAUAAUUUGAUGAAAAUUAUAAUGAUAAAAAAUGAAUAAUGAAUAAUGAAUAUUAGACUUAUAUCAAAUAAAUAGGAAAUGAAUAUUUAUAUAAAAAUUAAAAUUAAUGAAUAUAUUUUAUAAAAAAAAAUUAUAUUUAUUUUUUUAAAGAUGAAUCAUGGUUUUAUUUUUUUAAUAAUUAAAAAUAUAUUUUUAAAAAAUCAAAAUAUUUAAUUUAAAUAAUUUUUUAUAAAAAAAAUUACUUUUUAUUAUUUUCAUCUUCAAUAAGAAACAUUUAUUAUCAAGUGAUUAAAUUAAAAUAUUUUUAGAGAUUUCUAAUAGUAUUAUAAAUCAUCCCAAAAUAUGCUUUUAUUAUAAUUUGAAUAAUUUGAAUAUAAUAGAAGUUUAUUUUAUUAAUUUUUUACUCUACUUAUUUGUAUUUAACUUUUUAAAAAUUUUUAAAAUUAUUUUGAGCUCUUAAAUUAGAAUUUUUUGCGUAUCACCCAAUAUCGAUUUGAGAUAUCGAGACCGAUGUGCCUCAGGACUUCCCAAGUCAAUGACCGAUACUGCGACUUUAAACUAUGCCUGAGACUUGUGGGUUUAGAGGAGAAAGAGAUGGGUGUUUGACUGCCAGUUGAGGGUUAUGGGUAUAGAUGAGGAUUUGAAUUUUAAAUAGUAUGUAUUUGUUUUUUUUUAAGUACAUAAUGAGUAUUUGGUGGGGAUUUGGAUUUUAAAUAAUUUGAUGAAAAUUAUAAUGAUAAAAAAUGAAUAAUGAAUAUUAGACUUAUAUCAAAUAAAUAGGAAAUGAAUAUUUAUAUAAAAAUUAAAAUUAAUGAAUAUAUUUUAUAAAAAAAAUUAUAUUUAUUUUUUUAAAGAUGAAUCAUGGUUUUAUUUUUUUAAUAAUUAAAAAUAUUUUUUUUAAAUCAAAAUAUUUAAUUUAAAUAAUUUUUUAUAAUAAAAAAUUACUUUUUAUUAUUUUCAUCUUCAAUAAGAAACAUUUAUUAUCAAGUGAUUAAAUUAAAAUAUUUUUAGAGAUUUUUAAUAUUAUUAUAAAUCAUCCAAAAAUAUGCUUUUAUUAUAAUUUGAAUAAUUUGAAUAUAAUAGAAGUUUAUUUUAUUAAUUUUUUACUCUACUUAUUUGUAUUUAACUUUUUAAAAAUUUUUAAAAUUAUUUUGAGCUCUUAAAUUAGAAUUUUUUGCGUAUCACUCGAUACCGAUAAGAGAUACCGAGACCGAUGUGCCUCAAGACCUCCCGAGUCAAUGACCAAUACCGUAACUUUAAACUAUGUUCUGUAAUGUAAACCCCAACUUCUCAUUCAUGUCCAUAUUUUCUGGUUUCAUACCAUCGUCAAGCUUCCAAGUAUAGGAAUGAAGAAGAGAGACCAAUAUCAGGUGCACCAUCCUAUGAGCUAAUGGCAAUCCAAGACAUAUUCUUCUUCCAGCACCAAAUGGAAUCAACUCAAAAUCUCGGCCUUUGACAUCAAUGUCACACCCUAAAAACCUCUCAAGCACGAAUGCAUUCGGGUUCAACCAAAUGCUUGGAUCACGACCAAUAGCCCAUGCAUUAAUUAGUACUUGGGAAUUCUUUGGAACUGUGAAGCCGCAUAUUUCUACAUCAGUUUCAGCUUUAACAAGAACUAGCAGUGGGGCUGGUGGGUGCAGCCUAAAGGUCUCUUUAACUAUGCCUUGUAAGUAAGGGAGCUUUUAUGUCAUGCCCCAAGACCCACUCCAAGGGCGUGACGGUCAUUUCACACUUCAAACUCGAAGGCUUACAGUGUAACCUAACCCAAACAAUUAUCUUGUAAUCGGAAGUUACCAAUUACCAAAUACCUGUUCAGAGUAGCGGAACAAAAUCUAAAAUCCUCAAAAUUCAAUUUCAAAACUAAAACAUCCACUAUCCAAAAUCCAUUGUCCAAAUAUUUGCAAACUUAAACAAUUCAAGUACUAUAACAAAUUUCAAAAUCUCCAAAACUCAACUUUGAUCUAACAUAAAAUUUGAAGGAUCAAUAUCCAAAUAACUUCCAAAUACCAAAAGAUCCAAAUGAACAUAACUAACAGUUGAACAAAAUCCAACAUAAAAUCGUAAGUCAAAUCCUAAUGAUGACCAUUCCUCAGCCUAGCCAUCACUCCUCACCCAAACUAAGGGUACCUGAAAAGUAGUCAACAAAUGGGAAUGAGCUCACAGCCCAAUAAGGAACAUUAAUGCAGUCCAUGGAUUAAAUAUUUCAAACUCACUUGCAAAAUAGGAGAUAUUGUAAUCAAUCAUUUUCAUAAAGCUGAGUAAAUUUUUAUUUUUAUUUUUUUUGCCAAUACAUUCAAAAUUUCUAAAUGUAUGCAUUUAUUUCUGAUUCAAACAAUUUCAUAUCAAAUUCAAUCAAAACAUUCCAAUAAUUUAUUUACUCUGGUCAUCAAACAUCAAAGGGUGCCCAAUUAGGUGGGACUUUUCAAAUGGGUGGUUAGCCUCAAAUUGUUCCUUUAAGGUGGAUGGAACCAAACACUACUAGUACUAGUAACCUCUAAUCGAAACCCCUAGAGGCUGAGGUUCAAAUCAAUUACAUUUCCCACCAAGAAAUGUAAAGGCCAACUAUUAUAUCCCAUUGACAAGGGCCAAAAAUCAACUAUAAUAUCCCGUUGACAAGGGCCAAAUAAACCAGAUUCAAAUAUUUAUUUCAUUUAUUCAAAUUUACAACAUAUAAUAUCUCCACAUUUAUUUGUCAAAAACAUAAUAUAAAAUUCUAACAUACUUUUCAUGCAAAAUAGGUUUGAUCCAUGCAUAAAACGGAAUAUAACUCAAACGUUUUCAAAUAAUGUAUAUAUAUAUAUAUAUAUAUAUAUAUAUAUAUAUAUAAAAUUGUUUCAAAAAAGAAUUUAACAACUGCAUUAAUUUCCCUUACCUCAAAAGAAGUCCUCAAAAACUUUGGAGAGAAAAUAAUCCUGAAAAUCUACUCUUCACCUAACAAAAUAUGAGAGGAAUAACUAUUACUAUUUAUCUAUAAUUUAACUAAUCUAUUCCUUAUUGAAAUAAAUUAAUAAAUUCCCAAUUUGUUUCUAAUAACACAAAGCCCUGCCAUUAUUAAAUAAUACAGUACUCAGUACUCAAGUACUCAUCAAAGUCUAACAAUACGGAGUCCUACUACUAUUAAAUAUUACAUACCCAAGUAUCCAUCAAAGCCUAAUAAUAGAAUAUGUGAAAAUCCACCAACUAGAGUUCAACCAUGAAAUCCUUACAAAAAAAAGUGGAUGCAUAGUUCCCACACGCAUGCGACCAGUGCACACACGUUUUUUUUUUUGUUAAAAAAAACUUAAGAUCUCCCAAAUUCCAACAAUAAAUCAAAACCUUAAAUUUUCACUAUUUGAUAUUAAAAUGAAUUAAAAAAAUAAACUAACCCUAAUCUAGAUUUGGGGUUUUCCAAAAAAAUAUAUCUAAUGUGCUCGAAAUUAACUAAUGAAUCUAAAAUAAUAAUCUAGGGGUUAGAAUCUUACCUAUAGAGGUUUGUUCUUCAAACCUUGAAAUCUGACCUCAACUUCACGUUCUCUGGAAACUCUCUGCAAACAGGAACGCGAUUCAGAAAAGAACAGGAAGAAGAGAAAUUUUCUAUUUAUACCUAGGGUAUUAUUAGUAAAAUUACCUUUUCACCCCUCUUCCAUUUUAUUAAAUUAAUUAAUUAAUUAAUCUAAUAUCAUUAUUAUGAAUUUCCUAAAUUACCCUUUAAAAAAAAAACUUGGGCAUUACAUUUUAGAUGUCUAAUUCUUGAACUAUCCCAUCCUUGCCAAGGACUUCUUGGAGCUCCCUUUGAGCUUUUACCAUUGUUUCCGGGUUGUGUAGUAGCUCUGCCAGUGCCCACUCUAUUAUGUCUGAAGUGGUGUCAGUUCCCGCAACAAAGAGAUCCUGAUCAUACAAAGCAGAGUUAGAAUUUAGGUUUCAUUGAUCAUAGUUGGCAAAUAUGCAGUUACCAAUGUUUUCUACAUGAAUGGAAAAGAAAAAUUGUACAAGAAAUAACUCCAAGGAAGACUAACUUCUAAUUGAUUGUUUACUUAAGUUUUUAAGUUAAUUUCAGUUUUAUAACUUAACCAAUUUCACAGUUAAAAGUUAAAAGGAAACGCAAUUGCAGGUACAUAAUAUAGAUACUUCAAUGGAGAAGUCACCAAGGAUCAGAUAUAAUGAUUUAUAAAUUGUUCCAAAAGUCACUGAAGUCAUUCUUCAUCAAAAUUAGGCUGUAGUUCAGCUAAAAUAUUGAGAAAUUCAAUCUUCUUGUGUAUAUAUAUAUAUAUAUAUAUAUAUAUAUAUAUAUAGGGGUUUAAUUAAAUAAAUUAUAGUAUAUAAUUAAUUAAUAGGUUUGGUCUGGUCUUAACUGACGAAACCACUUAGAGGAAGUGUGAAUAGGUAAGAACAACUUUCUAACAUCAAGAAAGAACCUCCCGAUAUCGAUCUCCCCUCCUCGUUAAGAUCCAAUGAAAGAAGUAGCCUACUGCUUUCUAAACCUGGAUGCGAUGUGAGGCAGUAUAGAAUGUACUACACUCAAAAAUACCAAAUAGUCAAGUUGGUUUGAUCACAUCAAUCAAGAGAAUAUAAAUGGGUAAGAGACAAGCUUCCUCAUAAAGAGCAUGAGCAAUAGCCACACACUCAGCUCGUAAGAGAGUCAGAAUAUUAGAAACCAUAGGAGGAUCAAUGCCUUAAUAUGGACACACAUCCCCAAGUUAAUUUUGACAAAUCUAUACAGAAGAUGCAACAAAGUCUAAACCAUAUAUCAAAACACUAAAAUAUACUCUAGGAAUAUACAAAUAAUAGAUGUUAUCAUAGAACAUUCAAGUGCAGUGAUUAGGGUAUAUAGCCAUUUGAAUAGACAUAAUAGUUGUUAGACAACAACCAGAUAUAGUUUGUUUUAUUUGUAUCUAUCUUAUUGUUGUAACUAUCAUCCUUUAAUCAUGUAAGUAGUUAGCUGAUUUUAUGCUAUUUCAAACUCUAUAAUUCAGCUAUAUAAAGCUGCUCUUGUAUUCAUUAUUAACACAGCAAUAUAAUACAAACAUUCAUUCUCAUAUUAUCUUUACAUGGUAUCAGAGCCCUCAUUCUAAUUUUCUGAUCAAUCAUGACUUCUUCUCAAAUGAUUCCUUCAAAUUCAAUCUCUUCUUCUGCUCAUCAUACCUUCUCUGUCAAGCUUACUCCAAGAAAUUAUCUUGCUUGGAAAACUCAAUUUAAUCCUCUUCUUAAUUACCAAAAUCUAACUGGGUUUGUUGAUGGUUCAACUGUUGCUCCAUCGAAAACAAUUAAAGAUUUUUCUACUCCUCCUACUGAGAUUUCAAAUCCAGAAUAUGAAACAUGGUAUAAAAAGGAUCAGAUGUUUCAUUCUUGGAUCCUUUCUUCUCUUUCAGAAGAGAUAUUUCCUUAUGUUAUUAGGUUAUCUUCAUCUUAUGAAGUAUGGCAGGCUCUCUCUCAAGCUUUUGGUUCAGUUUCUCAAAACCGACAGCUGCAAUUGCACAUUGAACUCCAAGAAUUGAAGAAAAACGAUCUCUUUAUCUCAACAUAUUUGUAGCGUGCUAAAGCUCUAGCUUAUGAGCUAAAUGCGGCAAGUCGUCCUCUUACCCCAGCAGAAUUUAAUGCAAUAAUUUAUCACAAUAUUGGCAGUGACUAUCAUGCCAUUAUCGCUGCCUUAAAUCUUCGUUCUAAACCAGUGUCAUUUCAUGAACUCCAUGGUCAACUUAUUGCUCAUGAAAUUUUACUUAAAGAGUUCUACUGAUCUUCCUCAAGCAAACAUGGUGACUUGUUAGUCUAAUUCUGCUCCAUUGCUUCCCACUCCAUCUCAGAAUAAUAAUCACAAGAAAUCUUCGAAUUGGAAUGGAAAUCGACCCCGUGGUCCUUGCCAAAUCUGUGGCUAUAGAAACCAUACUACUGAUCAUUGUUGUCGUCGAUAUUCUCGUUACAACUCUCACAACCAAAAUGCAACUCCUCAUGUUAAUUACUCUUCAGCUGGUCAUUCUCAAAAUAAUUGUGCAAGUUCUCAAGUUCCUGUUGCCAACUACACUCAUGGAGGUUCCAAUAUGCCUUGGCAUCCUGACACAGCAGCGAACUAUCACAUCAUCCCUGAUUUAGCCAAUCUCAACAUUACUCAUGACUAUAACGGACAUGACCGGCUCCAUGUUGGUAAUGGACAAGGUUUGCAAAUACCUCAUACUAGUAUCACAUCCCUUCCUUCAUCUUCUGGUUCUCUCUCUUUAAAAAAUGUUCUCUAUGUUCCUUAAAUUGUCAAAAACUUACUUUCAGUUCAAAAAUUUGCCACUGAUAAUUCCUGCUUCUUUGAAUUUUGGCCCUCUUAUUUUCUUGUCAAGGAUCAGGUGUCCAAGAAAAUCCUCCUGCAGGGCCCAAGUGAAGAUGGAGUGUACACUUUUUGCCCUAAUGUCAAGCAAGCAUUUACAACUAAAGCACCAACUAUGGACCAAUGGCAUGCUGCUUUGGGACAUCCUCAACGGCAUAUCGUGUCUAGUUUAAUCAAGCAAUUUCAUUUACCUUGUUCCAGUAAUUCUAGUUCUCUUUGUUCUUCUUGCAUUUUGGGCAAACAUGCUAGACUAUCUUUAGGAUCAGUUCAACAUAAAAGCACUGCUUCCUUUCAACUUAUUUACUCUGAUGUUUGGGGCCCUGCUCCUUUGUUGUCCAGUCUUGGCCAUCGCUAUGCUCUUAUUUUCGUUGAUGAUUAUUCCUGUUACACAUGGGUUUAUUUGAUUAAAAAUAAAAGUGAUGUUUAUUAUGUCUUUCUUCAAUUUGAGCAAUUCAUUCAUCGUCAAUUUAAUCAGAAAAUUUUGGCAUUCCAUUCGGAUUGGGGAGGGGAAUAUCGAAAACUAAACACCUAUUUUAAACAAGUUGGCACUGUUCACGGACUUGCAUGUCCUCAUACUCAUGAACAAAACGGUGUCGCAGAAUGAAAAAUUCACCAUCUUGUUGAUACUAGUCUUGCACUUCUUGCUCAUGCUAAUUUACCACUAUGAUAUUGGAAUUAUUGAUUACUACUCAAAAAGUACUUUUUUAUAGCUUGAAACUAACUAUUUUAAAUACUUUUAAGUAGUAGUUAAUACAUUUUAACUCAAUUGGCACAAUAAGGAACCUAGCAAGGGUUACUAAUAAGUUUUUGGCAAGUUUUGGUGUUUUUGGUAGCUUUAUGAUCAUUAAAACAAGCCAAAAAUGAGGGAGAAUUGGGUGAAAUCCAUGGCAAUGCAAAUUAAAGUUCAAAUACAUGAAGAAUCCAAGCUUUGGAGCAUUUCAUAGCUCUUUGCCAAGCCAAUCAGAGAUGCAAGGAAGAAAACCAGAGAAAGAGAUCCAACAACAAGCAAUUUCGCAUAGUUGUGCGAAAUUUCGCACACCAUGCGAAACCACUUGAAGCAGCCAAAGAAAUUUCGCACACCAUGCCAAAUUUCUCAUGGUAUGCGAAAUCUUCCUGUGCACCAACUCCGUUAGAUUUUUAUCUUCAGAUAUUUUGUGUAACCAACUUAGAUAUUUUCUUUAAUAUCUUUUUAUAUAUCUUUUAGGUAGCUUAUAUAUAAGGAGAGAGAGACAGUGGAAAGAGUAUGGAUGUUUUUCAUUAAACACUUGUAAAAUUCCCGUAGUAAGAAAUAUACAGAGCUUUUGCUCUGCCUUUCCUUCUCAUUUUUGUUUUCAUUUUUCUUUCUAGCCAAACAACCACUGAGGAUGAUUUCUCAGGGGAUGAGUGGCUAGGUUUUACGUUUCUUGGAGUGAUGGAAGCUAGGUGAAGGACCUGAAUGCAAAGGCGGGAGUUGUCCUUGCUUUAAAUGAAAGUAGUUGUUAACCAUUAAUGGUUUUUAUUUUAAGGUUUAGCUUUAAAUCCCUUAAAAUCACCUUAAAUGCCCAAUACUUGGUAAGCUUUUCGGAUUCCAUGGAUGCUUAUUGCUAGAUCCAUGGAUGUCUAUCAGUUAUCAUUUACGAGCCAUUGGAAGGCGGUUCAAGAGGAGAAUAUUUAGUGUUUGAAGCCAUUAAUGGGAAGCAACUAUCAAUUUCCAUGAACCCUUGGAUCAAAUCUUAAUUGCUAAAUAUAAAACCGGUUCGGGAGAUAACCAUCCUUUAUGUUAUUGUCCCCAAUGCGAGGAAAAGAUCUGGAAUCUCCCCCUUUGUCUAAGGAACCCGAUCCUAGUGACCUAAAGCUCCAAGAGACCUUUUCUUUAUAGUUAACUUCACUUAUUGUUUUUGCUUAACUUAAAAUCAAUCUUUGCAACCACAAUUCCAUUUUCUUUAAAAGCUAAUUUUCAUAAGAAAAAACACCAUUUUAUUUCCUUCAUUUAAGUCAACUGUACGAUGAAAACCCAUCCCUAUGAACGAUCCUAGAGCCAUUAUACUAUGUUAGCUAUGCUACCCUAGUGUGAUGUGAUUUAGGUUUUAUAAAUUUUGUUGAUAACACCCGUCUGAGCUAGAAUCAAAUGGCAUGACUGUAAUGGGGACGAAUCAAUUAUGCAUUUGAAAUGAGCUGUUCUUCUAUUAAUAAUUUGCCCACUCCGGUUCUUAAUCAUUCUUCCUCAUACUUUGUUUUAUUUCACAAAUAUCCUGAUUAUUCUACUCAAAAUCCUUUUGGGUGCAUUAUUUUUCCUCUAUUACGUCCAUAUAAUAACCAUAAGUUUGCAUUUCGGAGCACUCCUUGUGUCUAUCUUGGUCUAAGUCUCUCUCACUCGGGUAGUUGCUGUCUUAAUUUAUCAAAUGAUGGGGUCUAUAUUGCUAGGCAUGUUGUUUUUAAUCCUAGCCUCUUUUUGUAUCGUUCUCAUAUUGUAGCAUCUCAAGCUCCAAAGGACUCUUCAAAUUUCCCGUGGCUUCACAUUAAAAGUGUACCUCCAUCAUCCAAGGGUUCUGUUGGAAAUUCAGGUCAAACCUCUACUCCCUCUAAUAUUCCUUUAUUUUCUACCACUGAUCAAUCUUUAAAUAAUUCCUUAUUGUCAGCUCAGUCCCCACCUUUGACCACGCCACUCUCCUCUCACUCUCCUAUCCCACAACAAUAACCUUCAUUAGAUUCAACCGUUGAUCCUCCAUUAUCUCUUAAUGUUGAUCUCAACUAUUAUCCAGCUCAACUAAAUGUUGCGUCUUCUACCUCAACCUCUCCUCCUCGAAUUCACCCCAUGCAGCUUCGUUCUUCCACCAUGCAAAAACGACAUGCUUGUCUUUCCACCAAAGCUAAAAAUUACCUUAUCACAGAACCACAAACCUUCACUCAAGCCAAACCAUAUGUUGAAUGGCAUGAUGCAAUGCAAAGUGAAAUUAAUGCCUUGUUUUAGAAUCACACAUGGGUUCUUGUUCCUCAACCUCCAACUGCCAAUAUCAUUGGCAGUAAAUGGGUUUAUCGAAUUAAAAGGAAAGCUAAUGGGGAGAUAGAUCGAUUUAAGGCUCGGCUCGUUGCGAAAGGUUACUCACAGCAGCCUGGUAUUGACUACACUGAUACCUUUAGUCCUGUGGUUAAAGCUACUACAAUUCAGACUAUUUUAUCAAUUGUUACUUCUUCACAUUGGCCAAUCCACCAACUUGAUAUCUCAAAUGCGUUUUUACAUGGUUUUAUUGAUUCAGAUAUUUAUAUGGAGCAACCCAUUGGCUUUAAAGACUCUUCACAUCCAGACUAUGUGUGUAAGUUGUCUAAGUUGUUGUAUAGUCUCAAACAGGCCCCUCGGGCUUGGUUUCACAGACUCACUUCCUUUCUGUAGGACCUUGGUUUUCAAGCUUUAAAGGUUGAUUCUUCUUUGUUUAUUCUUCAUCAAGGUGCUCUUAAAUUCUAUGUUCUAAUUUAUGUGGAUGAUAUCCUCCUUACUUGCUUUGAUUCUACAAAACUGGAUUGGUUUUUAAGUAAGAUCAGAUCAACCUUUCCAGUUCGAGACCUUGGAUCCCUUCAUUUCUUCUUGGGUAUUGAGGCAUAAUUUUCGGCUGAUGGUCUUCUCAUCACCCAACGAAAGUACAUUACUGAUCUACUGGCCAAUUCUAACAUGUCUUACUAUAAGCUUUGUCAUACACCUAUGUCGACCAACCCUCCGCUUUCCAAACUCUUUGGUGAUCCUUUAUCAAAUGCAGAGCAAUAUCGCCAAGUGGUUGGAUCCUUGUACUACAUUACUCUGACCAAACUUGAUAUCUCAUUCUCGGUCAAUAAAUUAUCUCAAUUUAUGCAUCAACCCACUCAAGAACAUUGGACAGCAGUUAAGAGGCUAUUGCGUUAUCUUAAGGCUACUGUUGGUUUCGGUUUGUUCUUCUCCAAGCAUUCCAUUCUUGAUUUGCAAUGCUUCACUAACAAUGAUUGGGGUGGUUGCCCCGAUGAUUGUCGAUCAACAAAUGGUUAUGCAGUCUAUCUGGGCAAAAAUCUUAUUUCAUGGACUUCGAAGAAAUAGCCAACCAUUGCCCCAUCUUCCACCGAGAGUGAAUAUCGUGUUCUUGCUAACUCUACUGCUGAAAUUAUGUGGCUUCGAUCACUUCUCUCUAAACUUGGCUUCUCUUCCUCAAAUCCUGCUACAUUAUGGUGCAAUAAUGUGGGAGCUAUUUAUCUAUGUUCGAAUCCUGUCUCUCAUGCCCGAACAAAACAUAUUGAACUUGACUAUCAUUUCAUUCAAGAACAAGUCCAACAAUGCAACAUUCAGGUUCGUUUUAUUUCUUCAGAUGACCAGAUUGUUGAUAUUCUUACCAAACCACUUGGUCAGUGUCUACUUGUUAAGCACCGAGACAAGCUUCGGCUUUGUUCUUCUCCGCCUUCAACUUGACAAGGAGUGUAAGAGCAACAACCAGAUAUAUUUUGUUUUAUUUGUGUCUAUCUUAUUGUUGCAACUAUCAUCCUUUAAUCAUGUAAGUAGUUAGCUGAUUUUAUGCUAUUUCAAACUCUGUAAUUCAGCUAUAUAAAGAUGCUCUUGUAUUCAUUAUUAACACAGCAAUAUAAUACAAACAUUCAUUCUCAUAUUAUCUUUACAAUAGCCUUCCACCUCCAGUCAUAGGAAAUGUAGGGAAUAUGAGUACCCAAACUUAGAAAAAAAUCAUAUAGCACACUUUGCCUCAACAUGUCUCUCAAAGAAUCUAUCAUAGAAUGCAGUCCUAUGUUUCAUAAAGUAGAAAUAAUGAAUGGGAAGGUUAUAUUGUAUAGGAUUGAUGAAUAGGUGUCCUAACAUGAGGAGACCUAGAAUGAGAAGCAGUCAACUUCUAGACCCACCUCUACCAUAGGUCAUAGGAAAAAUAAGAGAAAAUUUUGGAAAUAGAAAUUAAUCUAGGAAAGUGUAAGAUCAAAAGUGUCCUAAACAUUGAGCUUCGAGGCCCAUUAAAGUCAAUUAUAAAGAGAAAUUGCAAGAAAAUCUUAUGAGGGAAGAGCAACGAAUGUUAGAAGAGAAAGGAGAUAAAAAUGGACACAUAUAGUGAAUAUCAAGUGUUGGUGCACUUUUAAAAUUAAGGACAUUUGAACAUCUCAUAAAGAGUGUGUAAACCCUUAAUUUUGUUCUGAUUAAUAUGAUAUAGGCUUAUUUAGAUGUAGUCUUUUGACUUACCAUUUCUCUCGACUUUAUUUUAUUCCAUUUUAUAAUUAUUUUUAUUUAUCUUUUUCACUUUUAUUCUCUAUUCUUUCUCAGUUCUUCCUUACCUUACUUUUUAUUCUCUCCACACAUCACCAUACAUGCACCAUGAUUACACUUCCAUUAAUUUCAAAAGAAACAAACAAUUUCCUCCAUUUGUUUUUUAGAAAGGAAUGUGGGUAUAUCUAAGCCAAACUAGAAGUGGGACUUGUGUUGUUGAGUGAUCAUUGUACAUUCAAAUCUAACAGUAAGAUACUGGAGUCCUCCGCGUUAAUUAAUUUUCCAGAUGAUAUAUUGUUGUCAACAUAAUGUUUGGGAAACACCCCAAUUUGCCACUUAGUUGGCCAAUCUCUACCAUCCUACCAAACACAUUUCUUUUUCUUUCCUUCACUCACUGUUUUACUAAUCUACUUGCAGGGUUACUUUCAACAAUGAAGGAUGGACCACAGCCAAAAGAACGGACAUACCUCUUAUUAACCUUACACUGAUUGUACUAUAACACAUGGAAAACAAUAAUGCUGGAAACUAUCUUUCCUUUUUCUCACUGUUUUUCAAAUCUACUUGUUUGGUCGCUUUAAAAAAAAUGAAGGAUGGACCAUAGGCGGAGCUAGAAAAUGACCUGAGAGGGGCCAAAAUAUGAGAACAUGUUUCAGAGGGACAUAAAUGAUUGAAUUUACCUAGUGAUGUAGCGGCAAUGAAAGAUAUUUUUAUUCUUUUCCUAGGAGGCCGGGCACUUGCCCCUCCUGAGCACCAUGUGGCUCUGCUCCUGGAUGAACCACAACCAAAAGAAAGGACAAACCUCCAUUGCUUGUACUGUAACACUCAGCAUGGAAAACAAAAAUGCAUGUUUUAAAAACUGAUCAAUCAAAGCCUGGUCCAGUUCGAUUCACAUGUUGAGCCGAAGCCAAGGAACCCACUGAAUAGAGGUUGAGAUGUGCCAAAAAUACCACAUACCACAAAUCUAUAGUAUGGGACCAUUGAUCGAAGAUUCGAAGAAAUGAUAGUGCAACCACUAGAUCUAGUGCUAGUUUUGUUAUAUAACAGUUGCAUUUUAGCUAAAUUUAUCCUACUUAUUUAUGUAAUAGUAAAUUUGAAAAAAUAAUAUAAGCAAAAUAACCUACUAUCUUUUAAAACUAUAAAAUUAUCUAAUAUUUAAUAUGUAAAUGAAGCUAAAUAAUAUCAUUUUCUUACAAAUAUUAAUAUAUAUAUAUAUAUAUAUAUAGAUAUGAAAUAUCAAAUAUGAAAAUGUUAGCUGACUUAUUUCAUGAGCAUUUUUUGUUUCACUUGUCUAAAAAUGUUAGCUCUGUUUUUUUUUUUUAAUCUUAAACAUUACAACUUCUAUCCACCCUUUUAGCCGUUUCUGAUGCAAGACUAUAAACAAAGGUCCCACCUAUUGUACCUAAAUCCUUCUUUAGUUAUAUCAUGAUUUUAUAUAUUUAUACUACCGUUUACUAACUCAAUUUUAUCAAAUAUUUUGAAAACCUUGCGUGGGUAUUAGGUAAUGAUAGGGUACAUAAACAACAUAGAAGUUACAUUCAUUAAAACAUAAAAAUACAAUCAAACUUUGAUUGGAAUAGUCCGUAGAGGCUGGACCUUGUGUAAUGUCAACCCCAAUUUAUCAUUCAUGUCCAUCAGGGUUCAAAAUCUCAAUCGAUACCGGUACGACUCGGCCGAGUCGUAUCCGCCUCAACCAUGACCGAUACUAGACCGAUACCCGAGUUGGAUAUUUUGUUGAACAAACUCGGUUGAAUUGAAAGAGUGAAUCCCAUGGAAACGUUGAGACAACUCCAAGAUCAUGUUGAGACUAAGCUAUUUGGGUUAUUGGUAAUAGAAAAAAAGGUAAUAUUGGAGUAGAAAUGGUGGAGAAGAUGAGAGGAUCAAAACCCACGAAAAUGAAAAAUACAGAUUACAGAGAUGGAUUGCAUCUUGUAGUCGUCGGUAGGAUCCCCCAAGUUCUUGCCGGAGAUGGAACUGAGCAACAUGAGGAGGAGGCAGAGUCGCCGGACUCCAGCACCGCUGUUAUCGACGGAGAACGAUGGUGAGGUGGCCGAUGGAAGUGGGAGAAGAGAGAAAGUGGGCCUGUGGAAGAGCUGGUUGUGGGGACUGGGGAGAAAUGGGUGUUUGACCGGUCAAUGGUGGUUAUGAGUAUUUAACAUAUGUGGAUUUGGGUUUUUUUUUUAUAAAUAGGUGAGGAUUUAGGUUUUAAAUAAUAUGUAUUUGUUUUUUAAGUAAAUAACGAGUAUUUGGUGGGAAUUUGAGUUUUAAAUAACUUGAUGAAAAUUAUAAUGAUAAAAAAUUAAUAAUGAAUAUUAGACUUAUAUCAAAUAAAUAGGAAAUAAAUAUUUAUAUAAAAAUUAAAAUUAAUGAAUAUAUUUUAUAAGAAAAAUUAUAUUUAUUUUUUUAAAGAUGAAUCAUGGUUUUAUUUUUUUAAUAGUUAAAAAUAUUUUUUUUAAAAUUCAAAAUAUUUAAUUUAAACAAUUUUUUAUAAAAAAAAUUACUUUUUAUUAUUUUCAUCUUCAACAAGAAAUAUUAUCAAGUGAUUAAAUUAAAAUAUUUUUGGAGAUUUUUAAUAUUAUUUUAAAUCAUCCCAAAAGUAUGCUUUUAUUAUAAUUUGAAUAAUUUUAAUAUAACAGAAGUUUAUUUAUUAAUUUUUCACUCUACUUAUUUGUAUUUAAUUUUUUAAAUAAUUUUUAUAAUUUUUUAAAAUUAUUUUAAGCUCUUAAAUUAGAAUUUUUUGCAUAUCACCCGAUACCGAUCCGAGAUACCGAGACAGAUGUGCCUCAAGACCUCCCGAGUCAAUAACCGAUACCGCGACUUUGAACUAUGAUGUCCAUAUCUGCUGGUUUCAUACCAUCGUCAAGCUUCCAAGCAUAGGAAUGAAGAAGAGAGGCCAAUAUCAGGUGCACCAUCCUAUGAGCUAAUGGCAGUCCAAGACAUAUUCUUCUUCCUGCACCAAAUGGAAUCAACUCAAAAUCUCGGCGUUUGACAUCAAUAUCAAACCCCAAAAACCUCUCAGGCACGAAUGCAUUUGGGUUCAACCAAGUGCUUGGAUCUCGACCGAUAGCCCAUACAUUAACUAGUACUUGGGAAUUCUUUGGAACUGUGAAGCCGCAUAUUUCUACAUCAGUUUCAGCUUUAUGGGGAAGUAGCAGUGGGCCGGGUGGGUGCAACCUAAAGGUCUCUUUAACUAUGGCUUGUAAGUAAUGGAGCUUUGAGAUGUCUGAUUCUUGAACUAUCCCUUCAUUCCCAAGGACUCCUCGGAUCUCCUUUUGAGCUUUUGCCAUUUUUUCCGGGUUGCAUAGUAACUCUGCCAUUGCCCACUCUAGUGUGCUUGAAAUCGUGUCAGUUCCCGCAAUGAAGAGAUCUUGAUCAUACAAAGCAAUGUUAGAAUUAAGGUUUCAUUGACCAUAAUUUGCAAUUUGCACUUACCAAUGUUUUCUACAUGAAAGCUCAAGAAAAAUAUGUGCAAGAAGAAACUCCAAGGAAGACUGACGUUCUAAUUCAUUGUUUACUUAAAUAACUAUAACAAAAUUCAUAAAUGCAUCAAAUUGAAUGUCACAUAUAUGUAUAAAGACGAAGAUUUUUUAGCCAAAUGUAUGCAUUUUCCUCCACGCUAUCUGGUUACUAUAAUUGGGUUUGAGGAGUUUCGAAGAAAUGAAUGAAUUUUUGGACAUUUAAAUAAAGAUUAAUAAGGUAAAAGAUAGAGAGAAGAAACCAUGGGAAAACAUAAGUUCAACAAGGAAUUUGAUUGUCAAAUGUUUUAUUGAAUUUGAUUGAUUAAGAGUGUGUUUAAGAGCAUUUUUAUUGUUUUUAAUUGAAUUAAUUUUUUAAAACCUUUUUUACGAGAGAUAAGGCAAUACCUGAACCCGUUCUAAAUUUGUCUUGGGUUUAGAAAAAAAAAUGUCAAACUCAUUUCUAACUUGUUUAUUUAAAUUCCAAACUCAUUCCAUUAUAUGUAGGGUAGGAUGCGUACUCGAAAAAACCCUUCAUCCCAAUAUGCUAGGCUUUUUGCAAUGUAAGCCCAAACUUCUCACUCAUGUCUAUAUCUUCUGGUGUCAUAGCAUCUUCAAGCUCCUAAUAAAAGGAACGAAGAAGAGAAGCCAACAUCAAAUUAAUUAUUAACUUAAGUUCUAAGUCAAUUUCAGUCCAAUAACUUCAAUCAAUUUCAUUAUUGGAGUAACUGUUUAAGCAAAAAAGCAGGAAAUAAUAUAUAGUUGGUGGGGAAGUUACUAGGGAUUGAGGAAUAGACGGAGGAAGAAAGAGAGAAAUUAAGAGAAGAUGAAAUCACUCUCAAUGAUGAUUAGAAGUCAUUUUUUCCUUAAAGCUAAUUAGAAGCACACUAGUUCAACUAAAUGAUCAAGAAACUCAAAGUCCCAUGGAUCCCACUGUGCAUUGAGAUUCAUAUUCUGGGGACAUAUAAACAGGUAACAAAAUUAGAUCAUUCCAUAUUCUUUUCCAAACUACUUAACGCAUGCCAUCUCAAUCCCCUUGAAUUUUUCAGUCAUUAAACUUACAAUUAAUUGUUAUCAUCAAUACAAAAAAAAUGCAAGAAGUCAUCUUUUGAACUCCAAAAUUUGGUUCUAACUUUAUGAAGUUGGACAGUUUGAAAUGCAAAGUUACAUGGAAUGGAAUAGACUUCCCAUGGUCCCUAAAUUGAAAAUGAGUGAUUAGUAAUUGUCAAGAGAAAUUGAGAUACGAACCCAUUGUGAGAUUCAAACAAAUCAUAGAGAGAAAAAGAAAGGAAAAUCUAGGAUUUUUUAUUAUGACCCCACUUAAAAAAUUGCUACAACACAAAUAAAGUUCAAAUAGGUUUACAAUUAAACAAAAUAAAGAAAGAUAAUAAUUCUAAUAUAGUAACAAAUAACUCUGAUAAAUAAAAAACAUUAAGCAUCCCCCCGCAAACUCACAAUGUAACUGCAAGAAGCAUUAGGAGUUCACCACCCAAAAACUGAAACCACGAAAGUGAGUGCAGCUUGAUAAACAAGUCUGCAAUCUGUAAAGAAAAAGAAACAAAAGGCAAAGAAAGAAUGUCAUGCUGAAGGUGAUGAUGAGUAAGGUAACAAUCAAUCUCAAAAUGUUUUCUCCUUUCAUGAAAGGCAAACUUGUAUACAAUAUGAACAACACUCUUGUUGUCACAAUAUACAAGAGUGAGACAAGAAAAGGAAACACUCAUAUAUAUCAAGUGACUAGCAUAACCAAACUAUAUCUAAUUGGUGGUAGAUGUCAUAGAACGAUACUCAGCUUUUGUGGAAGAUCGAGAAAUGAUAGAUUGUUACUUGAUCUUCAAACAAAUAAGAGAAUCAACAUCAUAAUAUGCACAUAGCUCCAAGGAGGAAGUGGACGGAAGUAAAAGACAUUGAAAUAAAAUGUCUUGGAAAUGUCAUAGAAUAAAAAAAGAACAAUAGCUUAAUGAAUUAUAAUAGGAAAAGUAACAAAUUGACUAAUAAUGUAAACAAUAUAAAUAAUGUUCAAACGUGUGAUUGUAAGAUAUACCAAGCUACCAACAAUGGCACAAUAAAAAAUAGGGUCUAGUGGGAGGGCACCACCAAAAGAAAAAUACCGAACAUUAACCUUAAGAGGGUUAUCAACAAUCUUAGUAUCAGUAAGGCAAGCAGGAUCAAGAAUAUCAACUAUGUACUUGAAAUACGAAAGAAAAUAACCUUUUGGAGAAUAAGCUACCUCUAUACCUAAAAAGUGUCGUAGAGACCUCAAACCUUUCAUUUUUAAAUGAAAAGCUUAUUAGGAAUACCUAAAUAUCUUCAUUUCCAUCCCUAGACUGUUAUGGUGCAUGUAUAACUAUCUUAAGGUCCUCUAGAUCUAUAAACAACAAAAGCGAUAGUAUUUAAAAACUUAGAUCUAGAGAUAAGAAGAUGAUACAUGUGAUCUGAAUAUUCACAAAUCAAAUCUAAUUGAAAAAGAUGCAUCAUAGAUCUCGAAAACCAAAUAGUCUUCCACCCAAUGACUCUCUUUCCUAGAUCUUGGCACGAGAUGAUGUUGAAUCCUUUCUAAAGAGGGUGGAGCCUAGGGUUCUUUUUUGGAGUCUGAAAUAUUGAAGAUCAUCUAAAGUCAAAACCCAUAAGGGGGUUUAUAUAAGUUUCUCCUUGAGCUUAAGUGACUUAAGCUCAUCUUAGGUUUUGAUCACUUAAUUUAGUCUAAUUAAUUAAUUAGCUCUAUUGAGUUCUAAUUAAUUAAUUAGUCUAAUUCAAAAAGACCAUUCAUUAGCUUGUGUGCAACCUUGUAUUUUUACUAAAAUGCCUUUAUGCAUACAUAUGAAUGAAGAACCUAAAUACCCCCUAAAUAAAAGUGCCACCGAGGAAUAUGAGCUUAAGCGGGAAUCACUAUGACCCAUAAAAAAAUACUGACUAAUUCAAUUUUCAAGUUUUCUUAACAUCUCACUAUAGUGGGUAAAUUGCACUCUAGUAUCCUAUGAUAUUAAAACAAGAUAUAAACUCGAGUUUGUGACCUAUUAUCUACCGUAUACAAACUCCCCAUGAAUUAGUGUCUACAAUCUAACAAGGUAAAUGUUAUUAAUGCCUCAAGAUUACCUUUACAAUCCUUGAGUCUCAAACUCUUUUACUGUGUAAUCAACUGACAUAGUCUAGCUUUCUAAGAACAUAGGUCAAAUUCCAAUAAAACAAUUAUUAUAACCAUAGAUUUCCUAAUCAUAUUUAAUUAGGAUCAUCCAAGGGGACACACAUUGUCAAACCCAUGACAUAUCAUAAAUUAAAAGUUCCAUUAAAAUCAACUUUGUUGUGACGGCCCACCCCUUGUAGGCCACAUCCUCAUAAGACAGUUUCUCCUCUCUAAUUUAAAGACUGAGAUGGAAACACCAUCCUACGAAGGAAAAUUAACUUAUGAUCAAAUAGUUUGUGUCAGAGCAGCACAAGGAAGCAUAUUAAAGGAACUAUGUAGUCAUUACUCUUCCAAGAUACAAAGUUUUGAGCACAUAAAAGAUGGCCUUAAGGACCCGAAAACUUGCACAUACCUAAGGAAAUGGCUACAUGUCAGUAACCUAUUCAAAAAGAAGUACAAAGAAAAGGGCAACAAUGGUUAUAUGCCUCGUUAUCCAUUCUUUCAAACUUGCUCAGUAUCUAGUUCAACUAGGUUCUCAUCUAAAAAUUUUGGGGAACUAUAGGAUGAGUAUAACUCAAUGAAUGAUCAUAUAAUACAGGUUUUAAGAUGGUCAAUCCAAGAUAGAAAAAGGUGUUUCAUCAUGCAUGUAACACUCAAUGUAAAUAAUAUAUAGUAUAACAAUCAAGUAGGCAUACAAUAUCGGACAACCCGAUGUAUAAUCAAUCAAACACAUGCAUAAUUGAUGGCUACAGUGUCACUCUAACUCUUGGUGCAUCCUAAUAUCAUGUAAUAUAACUGCUACCAUUACCCUUUCCUCAAUCAACAUAUAUCACGUAUGAGUUUACAGACGUUAUAUAUCUCAUAUAACAUGGUGUCAUAUAAACACAAUACCCCUACAUUUCUUAGCACUCUUCUCAUUUAAACUGCUCUAAUGCCCCUAAGGAAAUGGCUACAUGUCAGUAACCUAUUCAAAAAGAAGUACAAAGAAAAGGGCAACAAUGGUUAUAUUCCUCGUUAUCCAUUCUUUCAAACUUGCUCAGUAUCUAGUUCAACUAGGUUCUCAUCUAAAAAUUUUGGGGAACUAUAGGAUGAGUAUAACUCAAUGAAUGAUCAUAUAAUACAGGUUUUAAGAUGGUCAAUCCAAGAUAGAAAAAGGUGUUUCAUCAUGCAUGUAACACUCAAUGUAAAUAAUAUAUAGUAUAACAAUCAAGUAGGCAUACAAUAUCGGACAACCCGAUGUAUAAUCAAUCAAACACAUGCAUAAUUGAUGGCUACAGUGUCACUCUAACUCUUGGUGCAUCCUAAUAUCAUGUAAUAUAACUGCUACCAUUACCCUUUCCUCAAUCAACAUAUAUCACGUAUGAGUUUACAGACGUUAUAUAUCUCAUAUAACAUGGUGUCAUAUAAACACAAUACCCCUACAUUUCUUAGCACUCUUCUCAUUUAAACUGCUCUAAUGCCCCUUCAUAUCUCAACACAAAAGAUUACUAAGUCAAUUGGCUACUAUGUGCCCAUCCAUCUCUAUGGCACGAUAUAAGUCUGGGGCGUAUCAUAUCCAUAGCAAUAUUAUAAAGUACAAUAAUGAUAGUGUCAGUGAUUUUCAGUGAAUAGUAUGUACUAGGUAAGCUCUUAGGAAAGACUAGAGGGGUUACCAUGGUCCCGCGUAAAACCCAACCUCCUUAGACAGAGUUUCCCUAAACCAUACCCAUCUCUUCAUGAUCACAAAACCAUCUUAACUAUUUAUAUACAAACAUACAUACAUGCAUAUAUAUCAAGGAUACAAGGAACACAUAUUUAAUAUAAACAUAACAUUUGACCAACACAUUUUCAAAACAUAUCUCAUGAUAUUUUAAAAAUAAUGAAUACAUAUAUAACACUUGAAACAUGAGAUAUAUAAUUCUAAAACCAUAUAAAAUCUUGCAUUAUAAGAUCACUCACCUUUUAUAUUGGAAUUAUUGCAUUACAUCUAUUACAAUGACUCAAAGAUCCAACCUUUAGAAUAACACUACCAUAAGAGCUUUUUCUUACUUCUUUCCUUUCCUUUCUUGGUAGGUGAAUGUCCUAUUUAUAAGAACCCUAAGCAGGUGAAACACAUAGGUGACUCAUCACUAGGUGUCAAUCAAAAGGAAAUGAUUAGUGUCUUCCUUAUUACAUGUAGAUGACAUGUGGCACAUGCUUAAUCCUUGCAGCUGCUUGGAAAGUGCAACAACUUAUUGGAAAUGACACGUGGCACGUGCUUAAUCCUUGCAGCUACUUAGCAAGUAUAGUAGCUUGUUGGACACGACAUGUGGCAUGUACUUAAUCCUUGCAAAUGCAACAGCUUGCUGAGACACCAUGCGUACUAGUGUUAAGUGAUAAAGACAACUAAGUGUCCUCUAGGUUGCACAUAUUUCAAUACCUCAUACUUGGUUGCAUGUGUUGAACACCUCAUACUUGGUUGCAUGCCUUGGACACCUCGUGCUUGGUUGCAUUCCUAGACACCUUGUGCUUGAUUGUAUGCUCUUUGACACCUCAUACUUGAUUGCAUGCUUAUUAAUACUUCAUGCUUGGUUGCAUGCCUUGGACACCUCAUCCUUGGUUGCAUGCAUUGUGAUACCUUAAGCUUAGUAAGAGAUAGGUAAGAGGGUGAUGUUCUUGCUUGCUUAGUAAGAAGGUGGUUAAGAAGAACUUCAAAAGUAUUAAUAUUAAAAACUAGGGAUGUUAAACUUGCUUUAAUACUAUAUAUAUAUAUAUAUAUAUAUAUAUAUAUAUAUAAGAUUUAAAAGAAUCAUAAAGAGAAAAAAAAAUUAAAAAAUUAAAAAUUAAGACAUCUUAUUAUGACCACUGGUGCAUCUAAAGCACAUGUGCAACCUCGAGAGAAGGUCUCUAUGACGGAUUUAAUGUUGAGAUGAUGGAAUAUAAGAACAUUAGCUUCGCUAUUUGGGAUGUUAGUGGUCAGGACAAGGUUUUUAUUUUCUUUCCUUUGUUUCUUUUUCCUUCUUUAAAUUGGCAUAUGCCUAUUGGUUACUUAUCUUGAGGACCACAUAUUUGAUGUUCCAACAUCAAUUUGUUUUUGUGAUUCAUGGAUUCUAACUUUAACAUAGAUAACUAUAGCAAAAAAUUGGAUUUGGCAAGUGCUUAUUGAGGUAAUUUUGAAAUCUUACGAAAAUAGGAGCAAUAAUAUGGAGAAACUUUAAGUUUGAAUUUAGCACUUGUUGAACAUUAUAAGAAGAAUUCUUUUUGUUAUAGAAUUUUUUAGAACAAUUUAGGAAUUAUUGAUUCACAUGGACAAUAGUGGUUUUUUUCUUUACUUGAUGGUAGAAUUAUUAAGAAUUUCGAAGAUUACCAAAAGUUUAUUAUGAUUUAGAUGGAAUUAGAUUGCCAUUGUGUUUUUUGUUCAUCAAUAUGCAUUGAACAUACAUUAUUUUUUGUGUAUAUCCUCAUAUGGAAGAGACAAGGAGCUAUCUUGGUAGUUAAGUUGGGGAAUUCAGUUCUUAGCAUAUGCACCUUAUUACUUUCUUUCAUGUUUACCUUCUUAUUUUAACUAGUCAUUUUUAUUGAAAAAUCAGUUGGUGGAUUUAAAGUAUUUACUCUUGUUUUUUUACAUUGUUGAUUGAUAUUUUUAUCAUGCAUGUAGAAGAAAAUUGAUAACAAAACAAUAGUUCCUUAGAGGAUUCCAAUGAUAAUUUAUGCUAAUAUUACCAUUAUCCUAAAUAGUUUUAUGAUGAUACCAGCAUAUAGGAUGCCAAUAGGUUCUGAACCAUCAUGUUGUAGCAAUAUCUUAGAAAUGCAAUUUUUGGUCAAUAUUGUUGGGCUUUGUGGAGCCUAGUUUUGUUUGAUCCAGUUUGACGACCCAACCCGAAUAAUAUUGCAUGGUUUUUUAAUGGGAGAUUUAUUGAGGCCUAUUGGGCCCGUUUAGCCCAUUGUGGAACCACCUUUUGUAAUUAGGGUUUUUUAUAUGGUGGGGUUGUCGUGUUACAUAUAUAGAGAGAAUAUUGUAACCGCUAGGUUGUACUCUGUAUUCUUCUCUGAUAAUAGUGAUAUCCCUACAACUCCGUGGACGUAGGCAAAUUGUCGAACCACGUAAAUACUAUCUUGUGCGUGUGAUUGUUUUACUUUGGCGUGUGUUUUCUCUAAUUUUUUGUUUCUCACAGGUUGGGAAUUCGGUUUAAUUCCCUACAACUGGUAUCAGAGCCUAAGGUUAGCUUUGAGUGGGAGCAAUGGCAGAGGAAGCAGGAAAGGCGUCUGGAAUAGAAAAGUUUGAUAGCACAGACUUUGCGUAUUGGAGGAUGCAGAUUGAAGAUUAUCUCUAUGGGAGGAAAUUGCAUUUGCCUCUUUUGGGGACAAAACCUGAUAGUAUGAAGGCUGAGGAAUGGGCACUUCUUGACAGACGGGUUCUAGGAGUUAUUAGGUUAACUCUGUCUAGGUCUGUUGCACAUAAUGUUGUAAAGGAGAAGACCACAGUAGAUUUGAUGAAGGCUUUGUCCGGUAUGUAUCAAAAGUCGUCCGCAAACAAUAAGGUGCAUCUGAUGAAGAAAUUGUUCAAUUUGAAGAUGGUAGAGAAUGCAUCAGUAGCACAACAUCUGAAUGAAUUUAAUAUAAUCACAAAUCAAUUGUCGUCUGUAGAAAUUGAUUUUGAUGAUGAGAUUCGUGCUCUGAUCGUCUUGGCUUCUUUGCCAAAUAGUUGGGAGGCAAUGAGGAUGGUAGUAAGCAAUUCGACGGGAAAGGAAAAGCUCAAGUACAAUGAUAUACGAGAUUUAAUUAUGGCUGAGGAGAUUCGCCGAAUAGAUGCAGGUGAAACCUCAGGAUCUGGUUCUACCCUAAACCUUGAGACAAUAGGCAAAGGUAAUGACAGAAAUUCAAAUUAGGGUAGAUCAAAUUCCAGAAAUUCUAAUCGGAACAGAAGCAAAUCUAGAUCAGGCCAACAAGUACAAUGCUAGAAUUGUGGGAAAACAGGUCACUUUAAAAGGCAAUACAAAAUCCCUAAGAAUAAGAAUGAAAAUGAUUAUUCUAAUACUGUAACAGAAGAGGUAUAGGAUGCAUUACUUCUUGCAGUAGACAAUCCACUGGAUGAUUGGGUUUUGGAUUCAGGAUUUUCAUACCACUCCACAUCGAGAAAUCAUACAGAAUUAUGUUGUAGGUGAUUUUGGUAAGGUGUAUUUGGCUGAUGGUUCAGCCUUGGAUGUUGUGGGUCUGGGAGACGUCCGGAUAUCGUUGCCUAAUGGGUCUGUUUGGUUACUGGAGAAGGUUUGACAUAUUCCUGACCUGAGGAGGAAUCUGAUUUCUAUUGGACAACUUGAUGAUGAAGGACAUGCAAUACUAUUUGUUGGUGGUACUUGGAAGGUUACAAAGGGAGCUAGGGUAUUGGCUCAUGGAAAGAAGACUGGCACUUUGUAUAUGACCUCAUGUCCAAGAGACACAAUUGCAGUUGCUGAUGCAAGUACUGAUACAAGCCUAUGGCACCGCAAACUUGGUCACAUGAGUGAGAAAAAGAUGAAGAUGUUGCUAUCAAAAGGAAAACUACCAGAAUUGAAGUCCAUUGAUUUUGACAUGAGUGAAAGUUGCAUCUUAGGAAAGCAAAAAAAGGUGAGCUUCUUGAAAACUGGCAGGACACCGAAGGCUGAAAAAUUGGAACUAGUACACACUGAUUUGUGGGGGCCUUCUCCGGUUGCAUCCCUAGGAGGUUCAAGGUACUACAUCACUUUUAUUGAUGACUCAAGUAGAAAGGUAUGGGUUUAUUUUAUGAAAAAUAAAUCUGAUGUAUUUGAAACUUUUAAGAAGUGGAAGGCCAUGGUUGAGACAGAAACAGGUUUGAAAGUAAAAUGUUUGAGGUCAGAUAAUGGAGAAGAGUACAUAGAUGGAAGGUUCAGUGAGUAUUGUGUUGCACAGGGAAUUAGGAUGGAGAAGACCAUUCCUGGGACACCACAGCAGAAUAGUGUGGUUGAGCGCAUGAACAGAACUCUCAAUGAGCGUGCUAGAAGUAUGAGGUUGCAUGCUGGACUACCAAAAACUUUUUGGGCUGAUGCUGUUAGUACUACAGCUUACCUGAUAAACCGAGGACCAUCAAUUCCCAUGGAGUUUAGACUUCCUGAGGAGGUUUGGAGCGGUAAAGAGGUGAAGUUUUCACAUUUAAAAGUUUUUGGUUGUGUAUCUUAUGUUCAUAUUGAUUCUGAUGCUCGUAGUAAACUUGAUGCAAAGUCAAAAAUAUGUUUUUUCAUUGGCUAUGGUGAUGAGAAAUUUGGCUAUAGGUUUUGGGAUGAACAAAACAGGAAAAUCAUCAGAAGUAGAAAUGUGAUAUUUAAUGAACAGGUUAUGUACAAGGACAGGUCAACUGUAGUGUCAGAUGUUACAGAGAUAGAUCAAAAGAAAUCCAAGUUUGUCACUUAGAUGAAUUGACUGAAAGUACUGUCCAAAAAGGAGGUGAAGAAGAUAAAGAGAAUGUAAAUUCACAAGUAGAUUUGAGUACACCUGUAGCUGAAGUUCGCAGAUCUUCCAGGAACAUUAGACCUCCACAGCUUUAUUCACCUGUUUUAAAUUAUCUCCUGUUGACUGAUGGUGGUGAGCCAGAGUGUUAUGAUGAAGCCUUGCAAGAUGAGAAUUCAAGCAAGUGGGAGUUAGCCAUGAAGGAUGAGAUGGAUUCCCUGUUGGGGAAUCAGACAUGGGAACUGACUGAAUUGCCAGUAGGAAAGAAGGCUUUACACAACAAGUGGGUAUACAGAAUAAAGAAUGAGCAUGAUGGUAGCAAACGUUACAAGGCCAGAUUAGUUGUUAAAGGGUUUCAGCAGAAGGAGGGCAUUGACUACACAGAGAUAUUUUCUCCAAUUGUGAAGAUAUCAACAAUUAGACUUGUACUUGAAAUGGUGGCUGCAGAAAACUUACAUCUUGAGCAGUUAGAUGUGAAGACAGCAUUCCUUCAUGGUGACUUGGAGGAAGACCUUUACAUGAUUCAGCCAGAAGAGUUCAUUGUUCAGGGACAAGAGAAUCUAGUUUGCAAAUUGAGAAAGAGCUUGUAUGGCCUUAAACAAGCUCCUAGACAGUGGUACAAGAAGUUUGACAAUUUUAUUCAUAGAAUUGGGUUCAAGAGAUGUGAAGCUUAUCACUGUUGCUAUGUUAAGUCCUUUGACAAUUCUUACAUCAUAUUACCGUUGUAUGUGGAUGAUAUGCUUAUUGCAGGGUCUGACAUUGAGAAGAUUAAUAAUCUGAAGAAGCAAUUGUCCAAACAGUUUGCAAUGAAGGAUUUGGGAGCUGCAAAGCAAAUCCUUGGUAUGAGAAUCAUUAAAGACAAGGCUAAUGGUACAUUGAAGCUUUCACAGUUAGAGUAUGUGAAGAAAGUUCUCAGCAGGUUCAACAUGAAUGAAGCUAAACCAGUGAGCACACCCUUGGGUAGUCAUUUCAAACUAAGCAAAGAAUAGUCACCGAAGACAGAAGAAGAAAGGGACCAUAUGAGCAAGGUGCCCUAUGCCUCAGCUAUUGGCAGCUUAAUGUAUGCUAUGGUGUGUACAAGGCCAGACAUUGCACAUGCAGUGGGAGUUGUGAGAAGAUUCAUGAGUAGGCCUGGAAAGCAGCAUUAGGAGGUAGUCAAGUGGAUUUUAAGAUAUCUGAAGGGCUCAUUAGAUACAUGUCUUUACUUCACAAGUGCAAGUUUGAAACUGCAGGGUUAUGUAAAUGUUGAUUUUGCUGGUAAUAUUGAUAGUAGAAAGAGUACUACUGGGUUUGUUUUUACUCUAAGUGGUACAGCUAUAUCAUGGACUUCAAAUCUACAGAAGAUUGUUACUUUGUCUAUUACAGAAGCUGAGUAUGUUGUAGCAACUGAAGCUGGAAAGGAGAUGAUUUGGCUACAUGGUUUCUUAGAUGAAUUGGGUAAGAAGCAGGAGAUGGGCAUUCUACACAGUGACAGUCAGAGUGCAAUUUUUCUUGCCAAAAAUUCAGCUUUUCAUUCAAAGUCGAAACAUAUACAAACAAAAUACCACUUUAUCUGUUACCUUGUUGAGGAUAAACUGGUAAUACUUGAGAAGAUUUGUGGAUCUAAGAACCCAACAGACAUGUUGACUAAGGGUGUCACUAUUGAGAAGUUGAAGUUGUGCGCAGCUUCAAUUGGUCUUCUAGCUUGAGGACAGGAGGAUGAGUUGUAGGGAUGAGGGAUUGUUUCUUGGAGGAUAGCGGUUUGAUGUUGGUGAUUGGACUAGUCUCCAAAUGGGAGAUUUGUUGGGCUUUGUGGAGCCUAGUUUUGUUUGAUCCGGUUUGACGACCCGACCCGAAUAAUAUUGCAUGGCUUUUUAAUGGGAGAUUUAUUGAGGCAUGUUGGGCCCGUUUAGCCCAUUGUGGAACCACCUUUUGUAAUUAGGGUUUUUUAUAUGGUGGGGUUGCCGUGUUAUAUAUAGAGAGAGAAUAUUGUAGCCGCUAGGUUGUACUCUGUAUUCUUCCCUGAUAAUAGUGAUAUCCCUGCAACUCUGUGGACGUAGACAAAUUGUCGAACCACAUAAAUACUGUCUUGUGCGUGUGAUUUUUUUACUUUGGCGUGUGUUUUCUCUAAUAUUUUGUUUCUAAUGGGUUGGGAAUUUAGUUUAAUUCCCUACAAGUAUAGGUGUUCUUCUUCCACUCAUGAAGUCUGAAGCACCCUAUAACCUAAAGGACGUGUUUCUCAUUCAGAUAUAUCCUGUAUUACAAUGUGAAUGGAAAGGUGAGUGAACUCUAAUUUUAAAACGAUCCAAGGGCAUUCUGGCUCUGUGUUGUCUACAUAUCUCUUAACAUAGGACUGAAUGUAUAUUGGCCACUCUAUUGUAGCCACAAACUACUACUAGGGCACGAUCAAUCAUCUAGAGUAUUUAUCUUUCCUUCCUCGUAAAAGUCAAUUUCAUAUUAUCUUGAAAAAUACUAACCGCAUUAUGCUUACAAUUUUCUUUUGCUUCUAAUUAGCCAUCUAUGAUCCUUCCUCUUGCUUUCUCAUAUAUAUACUAUAGUUUUAUUGUGAUUUUCCUUUAUUAUAUUUGAAAUUGAUCUCUUAGUUUUAUUCUUCCCUUUACUGAUUUCCCUACAGAAAAUGAAAAAGUUCUCUCCAGCUGACCAAAACCAACCAUUUAUAUGACUGACUUAUUGGUAAUAGCAAAAAUUUCAUUUAAUGAAACUAUGCACCUAAUGAGAAAAUUUUCAUUUAACGACACUAUUCGUCUAACAGCAAAUUUUAUCUAAUGACACUACGUGCCUAACAACAAAAAUUUCAUCUAAUGACAUUAUUCGCUUAAUAGAAAAUUUCAUCUAACAACCCCAUUUGACUAAAAUUCCCUUAUUCGUCUUAAUGACAUCAAUUAAAAGCUUUGAGUCAUCUAUUUGACAUUGGCUAAAAUUCCCUGAUUCAUCUAAAUGACAUCAGCUAAAUGCCUUGAGUCAUCUAAAUGACAUUAGCUAAAAUUCCUUGAUUCAUCUUAAUGACAUCAGCUAAGAGCCUUGAUUCAUCUAAAUGACAUCGAAAAAAUGCCUUGAUGCGUCUAAAUGAUACCAUUAAGCUAAAUGACAAACUUACCUUAAUGAUAACAUUAUGUCUCAAUGACAACAUUUAGUCUCAAUUACAUCAUUACACCAAAAACUCCAUCAUAACACCUAAAACUCCAUCAUACUAAGUAUUAUUCAAAUCAAAUGUCAUUAAGCUAGGUGCUCUCAUGAAUAAACAUUUGUCUAGAUAACAUACCCAUCAGAGCGAAGUAUCAUGCUAUAAACCAAACAAUCAUAAAUUACAACAACUAUAAAAAAUGACAAGUUUUUUUAACAUAAAACAUUCAUUCAAAACAAAGUAAAUCUAAUUAACAUGUAAGCAAAAAGUAAUGACGCAAAAAUAUAAAAGGCAAACCCACAUUCUAAACAAUAUGAACUUAAACAAGUUUUUCGCAGUAGAGGGCAAAGUCUCUUUAUUAAUUUUUUUUGUUCUUUUCUUGCUCAAAAGAUCUCUUAACGGCUCCUUUUAAAUGAGAAAAUGAGGCAAACGAAGUGGACACUUGAGUAACCAUGAUGAAGAUGGCAACCAAGCAUCUAUGUUAGGCAGCUACACAAACCAUCCAUGUAGAAAAGAACUUGAAGACGGUCAUGUUAACGCGAACACAGCCUCAUCCCAAAUCCUAGAGAAUAUUUUUCAAUUACACAUUAAACCAGUGGGAACAUGACAUGUAGAAAUCCAUUUAAUUAUAUAUUAGGGGAGGUUCUAGAACAUGGCUAAAAAACACAGUGCACCAACACUACGUGCUACUUAAUUACAUGGAGCCAAAAGAUACAAUUAAACGUUGAUGGGAAUAGCCCGUAGAGGCUGGGCCUUCUGUAAUGUAAGCCCAAACUUCUCACUCAUGUCCAUAUUUUCUGGUUUCAUACCAUCUUCAAGCUUCCAAGCAUGGGAAUAAAGAAGAUAGGUCAACAUCAGGUGCACCAUCCUAUGAGCUAAUGGCAUGCCAGGACAUAUUCUUCUUCUAGCACCAAAUGGAAUCAACUCAAAAUCUCGGCCUUUGACAUUAAUAUCACACUCUAGAAACCUCUCAGGCAUGAAUGCAUUUGGGUUGGGCCAAGUGCUUGGUAACCGAUGAAUCGGCCGGUCUGUCGAAGUAGCCCAUAGGGUAAAUUUUUCAAAGCAUUGUAUGGGCCAUAAAUUAUGCCUCACUUAUUUCCCAACUUUUAUAUUCGUUUUUCCAAACAUCUUUGUCUCAGCUCACUUAUUUCAUGAAUAUUUUUGUUUCAGUCGUCUAAAAAUGUCAACUCUAUUAUUGUUCCUAGUUCCUACAAUAAAGACACUACAUUAAACCAUGAUUUCGAUGACUCCGAUGAGUAUAUUCCUCUUUAGUUCUUUCUUCUAUAUUAUAGAGCAAGACUACUAAAACUUUUAUCCACCCUUUUAGUUGUUUCUGAUGCAAGUGACACAACAAAGAAAAAACAAAUAUUUUGAAAACCUUGGGUGGGUAUUAGGUGAUGAUAGGGUAGCUAGAUAAACAACAUAGAAGUUACAUACAUCAAAACCUAAAAAUACAAUCAAACUUCGAUGGGAAUAGCCCGUAGAGGCUGGGCCUUCUGUAAUGUAAAUCCCAACUUCUCAUUCAUGUCCAUAUCUUCUGGUUUCAUACCAUCGUCAAGCUUCCAAGCAUAGGAAUGAAGAAGAGAGACCAAUAUCAGGUGCACCAUCCUAUGAGCUAAUGGCAGUGCAAGACAUAUUCUUCUUCCAGCACCAAAUGGAAUUAACUCAAAAUCCCGGCCUUUGACAUCAAUAUCACACCCCAGAAACCUCUCAGGCAUGAAUGCAUUCGGGUUCGACCAAACGCUUGGAUCACAACCGAUAUCCCAUGCAUUAAUUAGUACUUGGGAAUUCUUUGGAACUGUGAAGCCGCAUAUUUUUACAUCAGUUUCAGCUUUAUAGGGAACUAGCAGUGGGGCUAGUGGGUGCAACCUAAAGGUCUCUUUAACUAUGGCUUGUAAGUAAGGGAGCUUUGAGAUGUCUGAUUCUUGAACUAUCCCAUCCUUGCCAAGGACUUCUUGGAGCUCCCUUUGAGCUUUUACCAUUUUUUCCGGGUUGUGUAGUAG